rnacentral:lncRNA from 1 species
GGACAGAGUAAACAAGAGAGGGAAUUUGAUACCUCGUUGAUUGCCUUUUCAUAGCCCAAUCUCAGUGAUGCAAUUGCCAUAUGCCGAAUUCUUAGUCGUGAAUCUGCCAAAAUCUUGUUGUUUGCUUUUCCAUCAAGUUUCAAGCAGUUAGUAAACUCAAAACAAAUUGCUGCUGACUCCAGAGAUUGAAUAAGGUCAGGAGAGGGUUUCGAUAACUUUUCGAGUACGGAUGCAUCUAGUUCUUGUAGACAUGACGGAAUCUCUGGCAAAGAUUGAAGCCGCUUGCAGUUCCUUGCUUUUAGUGAUUGUAGACACAAUGGAAGUUCUGGUAAUGACCGAAGCAUGUUACAACCCGUCAAGUCAAGAGAUUCAAGACACAAUGGAAGUUCUGGUAAUGACUGAAGCAUCUUACAACGCUCCAAGUGAAGAGACCUCAGCCGCGACAGUUGCUUGAUACUUGCAGGUAAACUCUCAAAGUUAUUUCCACUUAGAUGCAAGCCUGUCAGUGAGGAUAGACAGGCAAUCUCUUGUGGAAUUUCCAUUACAGCACAGUUCCUUAUAUUUAGACGUCCCAAAGAAGAUAAACCUAAUAAUAAUGAUCGAGGCAAUGAUACCAAACCUUUGCAUCUAGAGAACUCAAGAAUUCUAAGUACGUUUGAAUCUGCAACAGAGGAUGGUAGUUGACUAAUAGCUGAUCCAGCUGCACAGAUGUAACGCAAAGAUUUUAAAUUGCCAAUGUUAUCCGGCAACUUAUCAAGUUUAGAGCAAUCUUCUACGAACAAUACUUCAAGUCCCGGUAGAUUUUCAAAUGACGAUGGCAGCUCUGUAAUUGCCGUAUGGCCUAAAUAGAUGCGUUUUAAAUGUUCCAUUUUCUCCAAGAUUUCUGGGAAACGCUCAAGGUUCACGCAGCCAUUAAGAAAAAGAUCAACCAACGAUCUCAAUUUACAAAACCCAGUUGAAAUCAUCUUCAGCCGUUUGCAAUCCCUCAAAUCCAACACUAUAAGAUCAGUUAGGCACUCUAUUGAUGAUGGAACUUCUUCUAUUGCAGACUGGAUUAAGUAUAGCCGUGUAAUUUUCCCAGAAAUCUGUGGAAACUCUACGAGAUUAACACAAUAGGAGAAAUUAAUAGUUACUGGACAAACAAAAUGAAGAUUGGUUGGAAAAGACCUAAGACUUUUGCAGCCCAUAAAAUCCAACCUACUGAGAUACUUGAAAUUCUGGAUAGAUGAGGGAACACAAGCCUUUUCUCCUUCCCAAAGUUGCUCAACUUUACUUAAACGCAAAUUCAGUUGAACGAGGUUCUUUGGCUUGAAAUUUGAUGGCAGUGUCCUUAAUGGAUAUGUGUCCCAAUGAAGAUAUCUCAAUUUUUUAGGAAGAUAAUCUAGACCAUUUGGAAGCUGCACUUUAGAGUAUGAAAGUUGCUCUUCAAUGAUCAUACUUAGAAACCUUUCAAUCCCAUAAAACUUAGGUACAUAAAAUUUGAGCAAUCUCAUACUAGACAUAUUUGUGAAGGUUCCGGGGUCUAAAUUAAUGCCUUUUAUUUUGGACAAAUCCAGAAAUAUGCCUUCAAUUGCAUCGGUCCCCUUAUUAAAAAAAAAACAAAGAAUGAGUAAUCCUAAAACAGAAAAGAAACAUUCGUAAACUUUAUUAACUAAGAGCUCCUUAAACAAAAACAAAUUCUGCAAUCUUUGAUUUUAUUUUUUUAAUAUAUUAAAUAUCUAUAUGCGAGAAAAGAAAAUUUUGGGGGCCAUUGCAAAAUUAAACUAACCGAAAAAAAAAAUUCAAAAUUUCUCUAAUUUACAAACCUGUUAUCUUAAUAUCUAGAAGUUGAGAAGACAAGGCCUAUUUGAUUGGUAUAAGAUUUCAAUUUUUUUUUUUUUUUUUUUUUUUUUUUGUCGAUAGAAUCCAAAAUGUUAGUUCAAAAUUAGGGAAAAAAAUGAAAGUCAUUUUUUUUUCCACUAGCUGUAAUUGUAUCCAAGUCAAAUUGAGAUACAACCCUUUUUGAAAGAAUUUAACCAUCUUACAACCUCCUUAAGGUACAUUUAAGAUAAAAGGAGUGAUUGGAGGCAGAACUAGGUGGGCCAAUCAGUCCAUUUUAUUAGCGACUGUUGCUUAAAAAAAAUUAUACUCUAAAACACACUUACAUUUUUGAAAAAAUAUAUAAUUAUAUUGAAGUAGAACCAGGUGGGCCAACCCUCAUGGCACUCACUUUGUUCUGACACUUUUCACUAAAUUUGAAGAAAAAUAAAAUUAUACUCUUCACACUCUUAUUCAACAUUCCAAAUUUGAUAAAAUCGGGAGUUUUCUUUAAAAAUUUAAAAUUUGAAGACUUGUUCUCUUGACACCCUCAGUCAUUAAUUUUACCUAAUUAUGGGUUUUAUGAUUUUGGUUGUUUUGUUCAUAAAAAUGCUUUUACUAAAGGAUGUUCUGGUAAUAAUAAAAUUUAUAAAAAAAACAUGGGUGUGCUGGUAUGGUUGGAAAAAUAUGAGUGCAUAACUCCAAACAAAUAAAAGAUAUAUAUAAAAAAAAAUGGAGGAUUCUUACCUUAUUAUGCUUGAGUACGCGGCGGAUUUCCUUAGGAUCCCACAACCUGCUGCGUUUGCCUGGCUCUUUCUCAGAUUCUUGGCGAACAAUCCGUCGCCCCAUUUCUUGCAAUAAAAUCAUGCAUUUGCAAGCAAUUCCCUGAUACUGAUAUGAGUGACUUAUCAAUAAGGACAUUCACGUCAUUCAGUCCAUAAGACUUAGAAUCAUCAAGUAUCCUUAUCACAAAAUCUUUAUCCUCUCCCUCAAAGAAACAAGCAAUAUCUAGAAAUACACUCUUGACAUUGGGCGUUAAUUCAUUAAAACUAAUCUUUAAUAUAUCAUACAUAUUAUGAAUAUCAGAUUCACAAAUCCGAUUUAAGUCGUCCAAUACGUUUCCCCAAUGGCUUUUCCUCUUGAGGGAGGAACCCAACACUUUAAGAACUAAUGGAUUGCCAUCAGCAUACUUUACAACUCUCCGUGACUCACGUUUGAAAUCUUCAGGACAAUGCUUUUCUUUAAAAGCGAAGUUACAAAAAUGCUCGAAAGCCUCAUCAAAUUUCAAUCCAUUAACCCUAUAUAUUUUCUCCACUGGAAACGUCUCGAGGACAUGUUUAUUCCUAGUGGUGAUGACAAUUCUACUUCCUGGACCAUACUGAUCAAGCCCUCCAAUCAAACCCUCUAAUUGUCCAUCUUUACUCACAUCAUCAAGCACAAUCAACACCUUCAUGCGUCGGACCCUCUCUUUAGUAAAUUGUGGAAUAUUGGGACCAUCUACUUUAAGUUUUUCUCUUAAUAUCCUUGAAAGAAUUUGCUUUUGUAGAUCUUCUAAUCCAUCCCCUCGUUCUAUAUUUCUCCUAACAUCUGACAUAAAGCACCUACCUUCAAACUCUCUGGAGAAUUGAUUGAAAAUAGCUGUGGCAAGGGUGGUUUUGCCUAUACCACCCAUGCCCCAAAUUCCAACAAUUUGGACAGUAUCCCACAAAUCCAUGCACAGAAAUGGUUUAAUCUGCUCAAUUCGUGAAUUUAAUCCAACUAGGCCAUUGGAUGAGUCCGUUGAGACUGUUAUUUUUUCCAUCUUCUUCAAAACAUCUUCGACAAUUUUGCUUACAAGUUGCGCAUCAUGCCUAAUAUGAAGGUGCAAAGAUGCAAAAACAUUGAGUCAAAUCGGGCCAACACAGAAACAGAGAUAAGAUGAAUUAGGAAAGAGAGUUACCUGAAUUUCGUGGAUUCGUGGCCAGCUAGAUGGGAUGUUUCUUUCAGUGCAUCCCUCCACUUCUGAACCAUUUCUGGCUUCUCUUUGAACUGUUGUUCGAGCUUAUCAAAACCGUGCCCAAAAAUUCCAGCUUGAUGCCGAACAUCGGACGGACUUACGCUAUAGAAAACUGGAAUAACGAUUUGGCCGUUUGUGUGCUUGCAUUCAAGAAUCUUGACAAGUUCAUUCAGGCACCAUUUUGAAGAAGCGUAGUCCUUUGAGAAAAUGACGACCGAAAUUUUCGAACCUUCGAUUGCGUUCAAAAGAGCAGGUGAAAUCUCAUCUCCUCGCCUAAGCUCUUCAUCAUCAAUAAACGUUUUGAUUUUCGUUCUUUCAUUCAAAUUAUAAUAGAGAUGGCAUGUAAAGCUCACGCGAGUGUCCUCUCCUCUGAAACUGAGGAAUACAUCAUAAUUGCAACAAGAAGAAGAGGAAGCCAUGAAGGAAAUUUUAGAAAUUUGGUGACAGAAACAGAGAAUUAAUCUUGAGAGUUGAGAGGGGAUAUGUAAGAAUGAAAAUGCGUAAAUAGUAAAUGAUUGAAUUAAUCUGGCGAGUAAAUAGUAAAUAAUUGAAUGGCCGGAGCUUUCUUAGUUUCCUGGAAAUUUCCUGGAGCUUUCGUAUACAUGAUUUGUCAAGUCAAGAAACAUAAUCAUGAUAAUGGGGCAGACCAGGAAGGAAAGAAAAUUUGAUCCAACCAAUAAAGGAAGGAAAAGUAAAGAAAGAAAAUUUGAAAGUAGAUUCAGAGAAUUAUAAAAAGCUAAAGGAUAUUGGAAUUUUGUACAAUUUCUCUAUUACAGUUUGGAUUAAGAUUUGAGCAAGCGGCCAAAACUACAUUGCGUCAGGGCUUUGGUGCCACACUCGUUUGUCUGUUAGUAGCAUUGGAUUUGAUCUGACGGCUGCAGAAGAGACACAAACAUAAAGAGGAGUAACCUGAGGAAAAGGUAAUAAGCCGGUUACCUGCAGAAAAUAAGUGCAUGAUAAAAUAACACAAGUAAUGAACACAAUGGAAGCGUAUAUGCAAGUAAUGGUUGGAAACAACUUGCUGGAAGCGUGCAAGUAUUGGUUGGGCACAGACCGACAUUAAAUUUCGCAAAUAGUGUCUGAAACAUUUGCAAAUACUUAAUUCAAAACGUCAAUAAAUGCUGGAAAAAAUACAUAUUUUUUUAUUUUUUAUUAAGAAUACAUUUAAAAAAAGAAUAAUUAUUAAUGGUACAUAUUUGUAACAAUUAUACCAAAAACAAUUAUCCAUAUAUUUAAAAAAAAUGUUAACAAUACAUAUUUUUUAGAAGUAUACAUAUUAUAUCAUAAAAAAAUUGAGUUGGAGCUUCGACAAGUAGAUCUUAAAAAACUAAGGUUGAAUUUUGGAGGAGCAGAUUCGGUCGUGGAGUAACAUUUGUUUAUUAUUAUUAAUUUAUUUUGGUAGUCCUAGUGAAACAUCGUUGUUUCACAUAGAUGAUGUCGCAGUUUGAUAGACGGGAUGACAUGUGAUUUUUUAUCAAAUAUAUCGGGCCACAUGGCAUUUUUGACUAGGUGAAUGGAGUGACAUGUUAAUUUUUUUUUUUUUUAAUCAAAGGUUCUUCUAUCUUAGAAGACUAGAUUAGCCUUAUGAUGUCAAGACUUGGAAACGACAACUAACUGACUAGUGGAUAGCAGACACAUGUUGUCAACUUAGGGUAUACAAGGAUACAUGUUAAAAGUAUUGUAGUAUAUGUGAUACAAGUGUCAUGGAAGGCUAUAUGAGUGAUAAUUACUCAUUAAACUAUAAGUUGCAAUAAUUUAACACAACAAGUGCCAAUUAAAAUGUAAUAAUUUAAAAAAAAUUAGGUAUUCUCCGUCUGUCUCCCUCUCAAUCAAUGUGUCCUACUUUGAAUGUUAAUAUUUAUUAUCAAACAUAAAAAAAUUCUAAAAUAUUAAAAAAAAAAAACAGAGUCUUCUAGGCACAUAAAUUAGAGUAGUUUCGUGAACAAAGAACUUGAGAAAGAUAAUGGUGGCACUCUCUUAGAAGGAAUCUAUGGGGUUAAUGUUUUCUUCCCUAUGUCUAUUUUAUGUAUCUUAGUUUCAAAAACAAGAUGUACACAAUUAGGGGUUGGUUAAUGCAGUUAAAACGGUGGAAAAAGGCUUAUAGAAAUAAAAUAUAAUUGUAAUGCAGUGUUUGGUAUGAAUAAGUAAACUAAAAAUAAGACAAUUGGGUAUACGAAUUUAUAAUGCGAUAAUAAUAUUUUUUCCCUAAGACGACCCGUAGGGUAAGAUUAUAGACUAAAUUGUUGUGUUAUGUUAAUGAUACGAUAUAAAAGUGUUGUUUUAGAAGCUGUAAAAGUUAGUUAAUGUGAAAUUUGUUUUUAAAGGUAAUUGUCUUGUAACCCCUUGUUUUUAAGGGUAAGAUUAUAGACGCAAUUUGUUUGUUUUGAAAAAAAGUCCCUUAUGUUGAGCUGGACUUUUUUUCGUCUUCACAAGUCCCUUUUGCCGAGCUGGAAUUUUUCUGACAGAGUCUCCGUUUGUUCCCAUAAUAGCGGCGAGAAUCUGGCCGAGCCUCGAUGAUAGCUCGUUGCUACGACACGUGACUGUGUCCAUUGAGUCUCUAUUCGAAAUCCAAAUGUCGACGACAACGGCCGCCUCCACUAACGGUUCUCAAAUCACGCCGUGCGUUGAUGACGUGGCGGUGGCAAUUAACAACAAUAACUUCAACUCGAAGGAGAGAUUCAACGACCGUGAUUUUUUGUUGAAGCAGUCGUAUUCGUUUGGAUUCGAGCGGAGUCUUGCAUCGAAGAGGAUGGUGAUGGAGGCGGUAAUGGCGUUGCCGUGGAAGUACAAGAGGGGGAGUUACUGGAGCAAACAGUCGUCUCCGUUUGGCUCAUUGACGAAGUCUAGAGUCUUCUGGAGCAAAGGAUUAUAUACUUAUCCUCUUUGUUUUCCUUUUACUGAUACUGUAGCUUUAGCCGAUUACCCAUUUUCCAAGUGUUAAACAUGAGCCGUUGUUACCUUUCUUUACUAUCUAAAUGGUCAUUCGCAAAAGGACAAAUGACUAGGGUAUCAAACCCCUUACGCAAUGUAGCUGGACCCUUAGCAAAGCAUUCACCUAAAUCUUACCUCCGCUGUAAAUUCUUAAGUUUUGAAAAUUAUGAGACCUUUAUAUUGGGAGAUAUUAUAAUCAAAUGAAAAGUUAAAAUUUUAAUAUUGUUAAUAAAUGACAAAGCCAUUUCAUUUCUCUUUUACAUGUUAUUAAUUUUUGUAACACGGGGUGGCAACAUAAGCAUAAUCAAGUAAAGCAAAAGGGUUUCAAAUUAUGGUGGUAAAACGUGAAGAAGGAUGCCAACUGAAUAAUUCCUUCCACAAAACGAAAAAUAAUCACAGAAAAAGGAAUCUCUUAUAAAAUGUUUGCGUAUUUUUUAUAAGGUUUGAAACUUUAGGUGGUCGGUAAAUGAUUUCUUAAUUGAAUAAUAUAUAAAAAAGCUAAUUAUUUAUAAUUUUAAAUAAUCUGAAUUUGUAUGUUAGAAAUUUCAUCUCUUUUAUUUUUGAGAAUUUUUCAUAAAGAAUAGAGAACAUAAUGUUAACAUUUAAAGUAACACAUCUCAAUCGUCGAAAUUAUUUUUCUAUUAAAUCCAACGAUAACGAAUUAAUGUCAGAAAAGGACAAAAUUAGUGGUGGCUUGCAAUAAUUGCAAGGUAGCUUUUGUAAAGACAGAAAUGUGAUGGAUUCAAAAAGAAAUUGAAGUGAUAAUGUACGUGGAUCCUUAAAAUAAAAAGCCGAAUCGCUUGGUGGCCCAGUAAAAUUACGAUUUGAAUUUUUUUUUUUUUUUUUUUUACACAAUGUGUCAAGCACAUAAAUGACGAAAGCCAUUUCAUUUCCCUUUCACACGUCAUUAACUUUUGUAACACGGUGUGUUCAUCGUCAAGUGAGGCAAAAGGGUUUCCAUUACAGUGGGAAAACAUGAACAAGAAUGCAUAAUGAAUAAUUCCUUCGAUAAAGCGAAAAUUAAACAUAAAAUAAUCCUAAAAUUUAAACUCUAAUAUCCUUCGAUAAUGUAUUGAUUAAAAAUAAUCCUAAGAGUUUCCAAUUGAAACUUCCGUAAGUAUUUUUAUUGUUUUGGAUAAACAAAUUGCACUAGGAUAAAAAUUUGGUAAAUUCAGAGGAUAAUAGAAAAUAGCUAUGGUUCAAUAGGCCAAAGAUUAGAGAACAAACAAGAAUUAGUUAUUGAUAUACAAAAGAGAAACACUCCAAAAUUUCAAGCAAAAAUAGUUUCAUAUACCAUUUCGAUUUUGGAAGGGGUGAGGUUUUGAAAUUCAAUAGUUUCCUCUAAAAUCAAAAGGCAGCAAUUAAGUUAGAAAGAGCAAAGAAGACUUAUUGGUACCUUAUUGAAGCUGAACAUUAUGGAACUUUCAAUGUCAUUACCUCACUGUUCAAUUUUUAUUGAGAUUUGUGCAAGCAUUUACCUAAAUUUUACCUCCGCCUGUAAAUUCAUAAGUUUUGAAAAUUUUGAGACGUUAUAUUGGGAGAUAUUAUAAUCGAACUAAAACUUAAAAUUUCAAUAUUAUUAUUCUUUGAAAAAAAAAUGAGAUAUCAGAGUAAUAUCACAUAGAAUGGUAAGCCAAAAGUCUAAUCAACCACAUGCAUAAAGCUAACUAGAACAAGUGAACAGAGAAACGCGUGGGUCCCUAAAAGAAAAGGCAAGCACAUAAAGAAAACGGAAAACAAACGCCAGAGAAAAGAAUUUCUUAUAUGCCUUGAUAUUGAUUAAUAUUCAGCGAUAGCUUAAUGCUUACCAUCAAGCAACUUUGAAAGCAGGAAGCUAUAUAUGACAAGAAAUCAAAGUAAUGUGAAGGAACAUGAUGAUGAAAUUGCAGGCCAGCACAAAAACACCCAUACCCCUGAUUUGUUUAAAUGUACACGAAGACCUUAAGGUUUGGUAAAAGAAAAUUGAAUUUAUAUUGUAUUAUAAUACAAUUUUUUUUAAACCAUCAAUGAUAAAAUCUUCUUACUUUUUUCCAUCCUUUGGAUCAAUAAGUACAAAUUUCUCAUCUAAAUCUUCAUACUUUUUACAAAUGACUUUUGUGCCAUAGAUUUUUUUUUUCUUUUUUUGGUUUUGCCGAAAAAACAAAACAAAUUCAUAAACAACAUUGUAUUUCACCAAUUAACAGUGCAAGUGUCAUUAUAGUUUCCACAUUUUAGUUCUGUUUUUUUUAGUUUCAUUUUCUUUCUGUUAUGUAACUGAUGUUUCAUUGCUAUAAAAUUAAUUGUCUGUUUCUCUUCACAACUGUUAUUUUGAAUGAUUUUUUCUGAAUUUUAUAAACAAUUUGUAUAUGACAGGAAAUGAAGCAGAGUGCGAGCAACUUGUAUGGAUUCCUAAAAGGUCUGGUCAGAGUGUUCCUUUCAAUGCAUACAUCUGGCGGCGAGGGACUAUUCCAAUAUGGUGGGGUGCAGAAUUAAAGCUUACUGCUGCUGAAGCAGAAAUUUAUGUUGCAGAUCGGGAUCCUUAUAAAGGAAGUCUGCAGUAUUAUCAGAGGUUGAGUAAUCGAUAUGAUGCUCGAAACUUUGACUUAGCUGUUGGGGAAAAUCAGAAGAAAAAGCCUUUUAUUCCAAUUGUAUGCAUUAACUUGCUUAGGAAUGCGGAAGGGAAAUCAGAAUCUAUUUUAGUUCAGCAUUUUGAGGAAUCUUUGAACUAUGUCAGAUCAACUGGAAAACUUCCUUAUACUCGAAUUAUUUUAAUAAAUUAUGACUGGCAUGCCAGUACAAAAUUAAAAGGUGAACAACUUACAAUUGAAGGAUUAUGGAAGCAUCUAAAAGCACCCACUCAGGCCGUAGGCAUUUCUGAAGGGGACUAUUUGCCAUCACGGCAACGACUUAAUGAUUGCCGAGGUGAAGUCAUCUGCAAUGAUGACUUUGUGGGUGCCUUUUGCUUAAGAUCCCAUCAGAAUGGAGUGAUACGCUUUAACUGUGCAGACUCUCUUGAUCGGACCAAUGCUGCUAGUUAUUUUGGUGCUCUGCAAGUAUUUGUGGAGCAAUGUAGGCGGCUUGGGGUCUCCCUUGACAGUGAUUUUGCAUAUGGCUAUCAGUCAGCUAAUAACUAUGGUGGAUAUACUGCUCCUUUGCCACGAGGAUGGGAGAAACGAGCUGAUGCAGUGACAGGAAAAACAUAUUAUAUCGAUCACAACACUAGGACCACAACAUGGAUUCAUCCAUGCCCAGACAAACCUUGGAAGAGAUUUGAUAUGACAUUUGAGGAGUUCAAGCAUUCAACAAUUUUAUCACCAGUGUCUCAGCUAGCAGAUCUUUUUCUGCUUUCUGGUGAUAUCCAUGCAACCCUUUAUACUGGUUCAAAAGCAAUGCAUAGCCAAAUUCUUAAUAUAUUCAAUGAAGAACCAGGAAAGUUCAAACAAUUUUCUGCAGCACAAAAUAUGAAAAUUACUCUGCAGAGAAGAUACAAAAAUGCAGUUGUCGAUAGCUCUCGUCAGAAACAGCUGGAGAUGUUUCUUGGAUUUAGGCUGUUCAGUUCAUUUUUUUGUGGUAGAAAUGUCGUCAUUUUAAAUUUAGUGUAUUUUCAAAAAGCUUAUUUUCUCAGAAUAUAAAAAAUAAAAAAAUAAAAAAAGAAUUCUUACAUGUUUCAUCAGCAUGAUUAAAAUCGAAGAAGAAAGCGAGACAUAAUGUCUCUGACAUAAUAAAAUUACAAAAAUUUCAAGGAAAAAAAAGAAGUUAAAACAUGUAAUCUUCAGAAGCAUAUAAUAAAAGAGCACUUCCACAAAUUACUACAAUUUCAUGCAGUAGAGAUUGAAGAGUUGAAUUCCACUUAUAGACACCGACCUCUUGUUUUGUCUAAUGUUAAAAUUACAACCUCUUGCUUUGACUUAUUAGCAGGUUUCAAAAGUAAUAAGGAAUACAUAGAUAAAACAUCAUCUUAAACAAAUCACAAUCUAGAAUUAGAGCAUUUUCGACAUACCUAAGGACCACGAAUACGUGAAAACGGGUGACUCAUUUGUUAAGAAGUGUUGAUUUGAUCGGCUCUGCAAAUUCUCUUGGGACUCGGUUCCAAUUCCUCUUCAUCCGAAGUUCCACUCGCGCUUGGAAAAUCAUCCAAUUUCCAAACUUCGGUAGCAAAAUUGAGAGUAAAAGUGUUGGCUUUGAUCUCGCUGGGAUUUGCAUAUACUGGACAUACUCCGUAACGUUUUAUCUUGCAAUCCUUUUGGCUUCGGUAACACUUAUUGAAGAACUUAAGUGAGACAGUUGUAUGAUGGUAACCAUCGGGAAAGCCAACAUUCAAGCAAGGUUUAAAACCAAGUAUGACAUGAUCGGAAUCAAGGGAGUAUCUAGUGGGCAAAUCGAAACCCAGAUCAACAUGUUUGGUUUCAGAGAGAGUCUUUAUUUCUAAGUCGAAUUGACGGUAGAAGUAAAAAUCACACAUACAACGAGAAUAAACUUUCUUAAAAUCAAGAACAGCACAAAAAGCAAACCCGAUUAAGUUUCUGAAAAAAGAGUGCGGUGGCAGUUGAAUAUAUAUCGAAGAUCCUGAACUUUGAUUGCUGAACCAGUCAGGAAUUUCGCCCCCAGGUAAAACAAUUAGGGAUCCCCUGAGUUCUGAAAGUUUCUGUGAAAUGACAUUUAAAAAAAGAAAAUUGUAAAAUGAAAACCAUGAUUUCAGAUAGGGAUAUUAUCAUUUUUCCACCAAAGGUAUUCUGACACAUCAUGUCAGUACCACGGUUUGGUAAAACUAUCAAUUUACCACCAAACGUUUAAACUGUUAGGAUUUUCCCACUAUUCCGUUAAAACUCAGUUAAUAUGUAACGGAAAAUUUCUAAAAAGUCAAUUUUACCCCUGGAGCAUAAAAGACCAUAUAAUUAACUUUUUAUGAAUUUUGUAAUUAAAUCAUCAUUUGUUGUUCUUCCUUCUUAAAGGACAAAAAUUACCCUUUAUAAAUUUUAUAAAAUUGGCCGUGUAGUGCUAGGUACUUCAUAAAUUAAUUUAAUUUUUAAAGGGCAAAUUUAUUUAUUAAAUUGAUGAGCUCAAGACAAUUUAUUCUACUACUAAAAAUCAAUUUAUGAAAGGGAAAAAAAAAAGAAUGUGCAAACGAAGUAAUUUAAUCUUUGAUAUGAUGAUAAUAAUUUUACACAAAAAAUUAAAUAAAUAAAUUUUCCCUUUAAAAAUUAAAUAAAUUAAAUCAAUUUAUGAAGUACCAAAUACCACACGGUCAAUUUUACAAAAUUCAUAAAUGGUAAUUUUUGUCGUUUAAGAAUAAAGAAUAACAAAUGAUGAUUUAAUUACAAAAUUCAUAAAAGGUUAAUUAUAUGGUCUUUUAUGCUCAGGGGUAAAAUUGACCUUUUAGGAAUUUUCCGUUAGAUAUUAACUGAGUUUUAACGGAAUGGUGGGAAAAUGCUAACAGUUUAAACGUUUGGUGGUAAAUUGAUAGUUUUACCAAACCGUGGUACUGACAUGAUGUGUCAGAAUACCUUAGGUGGGAAAAUGAUAAUAUCCCUUUCAGAUAUAACAAAGAGGGACAGAGUAAACAAGAGAGGGAAUUUGAUACCUCGUUGAUUGCCUUUUCAUAGCCCAGUCUCAGUGAUGCAAUUGCCAUAUGCCGAAUUCUUAGUUGUGAAUCUGCCAAAAUCUUGUUGUUUGCUUUUCCAUUCAGUUUCAAGCAGUUAGUAAACCCAAAAUAAAUUGGUUGUGACUCCAGACAUCCCGGUGCCCAUUGACGAAGGUCAGGAGAGGGUUUCGAUAGCUUUUCGAGUACGGAUGCAUCUAGUUCUUGUAGACAUGACGGAAUCUCUGGCAAAGAUUGGAGCCGGUUGCAGUUCCUUGCAUUUAGUGAUUGUAGACACAAUGAAAGUUCUGGUAAUGACCGAAGCAUGUUACAAUCCUCCAAGUUAAGAUAUUUUAGACACAAUGGAAGUUCUGGUAUUGACCGAAGCAUGUUACAACCCGUCAAGGCAAGAGAUUCUAGACACAAUGGAAGUGCUGGUAAUGACUGAAGCAUCUUACAAUCCGUCAAGUCAAGAGAUGUUAGGCACAAUGGAAGUUCUGGUAAUGACUGAAGCAUCUUACAAUUCUUCAAGUCAAGAGAACUCAACUGCGACAGUUGCUUGAUACUUGCAGGUAAACUCUCAAAGUUAUUUCCACUUAGAUGCAAGCCUGUCAGUGAGGAUAGACAGGCAAUCUCUUGUGGAAUUUCCAUUACAGCACAGUCACUUAUAUCUAGAAGUCCCAAAGAAGAUAAACCUAAUAAUAAUGAUCGAGGCAAUGAUGCCAAACCUUUGCAGCUAGAGAAAGAAAGAAUUCCAAGUACGUUUGAAUCUGUAACAGAGGAUGGUAGUUGACUAAUAGCUGAUUUAGCUGCUGAGAUGUAAUACAAAGAUUCUAAAUUGCCAAUGUUAUCCGGCAACUUAUCAAGUUUAGAGCAACCAUUUAUGAACAAUGAUUCAAGCCCCGGUAGAUUUUCAAAUGACGAUGGCAGCUCUGUAAUUGCCGUCCGGUCUAAAUAGAUGCGUUUUAAAUGUUCCAUUUUCUCCAAGAUUUCUGGGAAACGCUCAAGAUUCAAGCAGCCAAGAAGAAUAAGCCGAACCAAAGAUCUCAAUUUACAAAACCUAGUUGAAAUCCUCUUCAGCCGUUUGCAACCCAUCAAAUCCAACACUUCAAGAUCAGUUAGGCACUCUAUUGAUGAUGGAACUUCUUCUAUUGCAGACUGGUCUAAGUAUAGCCGUGUAAUUUUCCCAGAAAUCUGUGGAAACUCUAUGAGAUUAACACAAGAGGAGAAAUUAAUAGUUACUGGACAAACAAAAUGAAGAUUGCUUGGAAAAGACCUAAGACUUUUGCAGCCCUUAAAAGACAACGCACUGAGAAACUUGAAAUUCUGGAUAGAUGAGGGAACACAAGCCUUUUCUCCUUCCCAAGGUUGCUCAACUUUACUAAAACGCAAAUUCAGUUCAACAAGGUUCUUUGGCUUGAAAUUUGAUGGCAGUGUCCUUAAUGGAUAUGUGUCCCAAUGAAGAUAUCUCAAUUUUUUAGGAAGAUAAUAUAGGCCUUUUGGAAGCUGCACUUUAGAGUAUGAAAGUUGCUCUUCAAUACUCAUACUUAGAAGCUUUUCAAUCCCAUAAAACUUAGGUACAUAAAAUUUGAGCAAUCUCAUAUUAGACAUAUUUGUGAAGGCUCCGGGGUCUAAAUUGAUGCCUUUUAUUUUGGACAAAUCCAAAAAUAUGCCUUCAAUUGCAUCAAUCCCCUUAUAUAAAAAAAAAAAAAACAAAGAAUGGGUAAGCUUAAAACUCAAAAGAAACAUUCGUAAACUUUACUAAGAGCUCCUUAAACAAAAACAAAUUCUGCAAUCUUUGAUUUAAUUUUUUUAAUAUAUUAAAUAUCUAUAUGUGAGAAAAGAAAAUUUUGGGGACCAUUGCAAAAUUCAACUAACUGAAAAAAAAAAUUCAAAAUUUCUCUAAUUUACAAACCUGUUAUCUUAAUAUCUAGAAGUUGAGAAGACAGGGCCUAUUUGAUUGGUAUAAGAUUUCGAUUUUUUUUUAGUCCAUAGAAUCCAAAAUGUUAGUUCAAAAUUAGGGAAAAAAGUCAUUUUUUUCCACCAACUGUAAUUGUAUCCAAGUCAAAUUGAGAUACGACCCUUUUCGAAAGGAUUUAACCAUCUUAUAGCCUCCUUAAGGUACAUUUAAGCUAAAAGGAGUGAUUGGAGGCAGUUCUAGGUGGGCCAAUCAGUCCAUUUUAUUAGUGACGUUUGCUUAAAAAAAAAAAUUAUACUCUAAAACACACUUUUUUUUUUUUAAAAAAAUAUAAUUAUAUUGAAGUAAAACCCGGUGGGCCAAUCCUCAUGGCACUCACUUUGUUCCGACACUCUUCACUAAAUUUGAAGAAAAAUAAAAUUAUACUCUUCACACUCUUAAUCAACAUUCCAAAAUUGAUUAAAUCUGGAGUUUUCUUUAAAAAUUUAAAAUUUGAAGAUUUGUUGUCUUGACACCCUCAGUCAUUAAUUUUACCUAAUUAUGGUUUUUAUGAUUUUGAUUGUUUUGUUCAUAAAAAUGCUUUUACUAAAGGAUGUUCUGGUAAUAAUAAAAUUUAUAAAAAACACAUGGGUGUGCUGGUAUGGUUGGAAAAAUAUGAGUGCAUAACUCCAAACAAAUAAAAGAUAUAUAAAAAAAAGAUGGAGGAUUCUUACCUUAUUAUGCUUUAGUACGCGGCGGAUUUCCUUAGGAUCCCACAACCUACUGCGUCUGCCUGGCUCUUCCUCAGAUUCUUGGCGAACAAUCUCUCGACCCAUUUCUUGCAAUAAAUCAUGCAUUUGCAAGCAGUUAUUUGACACUGUUAUGAGUGACUUGUCCACGAGGGCAUCUAGUUUGUGAGACCCAGAAUCAUCAAGUAUCCUCGACACAAAAUCUUUAUCCUCUCCCUCAAGGAAACACGCAAUAUCUAGAAACAUACUCUUCUGCUUGCGUGUUAAUUCAUUAAAACUAAUCUUUAAUAUAUCAUAAAUAUUAUGAAUAUCAGAUUCACAAAUCCGAUUUAAGUCGUUCAAUACAUUUUCCCAACGGCUUUUAUCCUUGAGGGAGGAACCCAACACUUUAAGAACUAAUGGAUUGCCAUCGGCAUACUCUACAACCCUCUGUGAGUGCCAGUUGAGAUCUUCAGCACAAUGCUUUUCUUUAAAAGCGAAGUUACAAAAAUGCUCGAAAGCCUCAUCAAAUUUCAAUCCAUUGACCCUAUAUAUUUUCUCCACUCCAAAUUUUUCGAGGACUCGUUUAUCCCUAGUGGUUACAACAAUUCUACUUCCUGGACCAUAUUGAUCAAGCCCUCCAAUCAAACCCUCUAAUUGUUCAUCUUUAUUCACAUCAUCAAGUGCAAUCAACACCUUCAUGCGUCGGAGCCUCCCUUUAGUAAAUUGUGGAAUGUUGGGACCAUCUACUUCAAGUUUUUCACUUAAUAUUGUCGAAAGCAUUUCCUUUUGUAGCUCUUCUAGGCCACCCCCUGUUUCUGAUUUUCUCCUAACAUUUUUUGCAAAGUAUUUUCCAUCAAACUCACCAGAGAAUUGAUCGAAAAUAGCUUCAGCAAGGGUGGUUUUGCCUAUACCACCCAUGCCCCAAAUUCCAACAAUUUGGACAGUAUCCCACAAAUCCAUGCACAGCAAUGGUUUAAUCUGCUCAAUUCGUGAAUUUAAUCCAACCAGGCCAUUGGAUGAGUCCGUUGAGACUGUUAUUUUUUCCAACUUCUUCAAAACAUCUUCGACAAUUUUGUUUACAAGUUGCGCAUCAUGCCUAAUAUGAAGGUGCAAAGAUGCAAAAACAUUGAGUCAAAUCGGGCCAACACAGAAACAGAGAUAAGAUGAAUUAGGAAAGAGAGUUACCUGAAUUUUGUGGAUUCGUGGCCAGCUAGAUGGGAUGUUUCUUUCAGUGCAUCCCUCCACUUUUGAACCAUUUCUGGUUUCUCUUUGAGCUGCUGUUCUAGCUUGUAAAAACCGUCCCCAAAAACUCCGGUUUGAUGCCGCACAUCAGAUGGACUUACUUCAUAGAAGACUGGAAUAAUAAUUUGGCCGUUUGUGUUCUUGCAUUCAAGAAUCUUGACAAGUUCAUUUAGGCACCAUUUUGAAGAAGCGUAGUCCUUUGAGAAAAUGACCACCGAAAUUUUUGAACCUUCGAUUGCGUUCAAAAGAGCAGGUGAAAUCUCAUCUCCUCGCCUAAGCUCUUCAUCAUCAAUAAACGUUUUGAUUUUCGUUCUUUCAUUCAAAUUAUAAUAGAGAUGGCAUGUAAAGCUCACGCGAGUGUCCUCUCCUCUGAAACUGAGGAAUACAUCAUAAUUGCAACAAGAAGAAGAGGAAGCCAUGAAGGAAAUUUUAGAAAUUUGGUGACAGAAACAGAGAAUUAAUCUUGAGAGUUGAGAGGGGAUAUGUAAGAAUGAAAAUGCGUAAAUAGUAAAUAAUUGAAUUAAUCUGGCGAGUACAUAGUAAAUAAUUGAAUGGCCGGGGCUUUCUUAGUUUCCUGGAAAUUUCCUGGAGCUUUCGUAUACAUGAUUUGUCAAGUCAAGAAACAUAAUCAUGAUAGGAAAUGGGGCAGACCAGGUAGGAAAGAAAAUUUGAUCCAACCAAUAAAGGAAGGAAAAGUAAAGAAAGAAAAUUUGAAAGUAGAUUCAGAGAAUUAUAAAAAGCUAAAGGAAAUUGGAAUUUUGUACCAUUUCUCCAGCCAGGAACUUUCAUUGUCAUUACCUCACUGUUACAGUUUGGAUUAAGAUUUGACUUUUGAGCAAACAUUCGCCAAAAUUUUACCUCUGCCUGUAAAUUCUUAAGUUUUGAAAAUUAUGAGACCUUUAUAUUGGGAUAUAUUAUAAUCGAAUCAAAACAUAAAAUUUUAAUAUUGUUAAUCUUUAAUCUUUUUUUUAAAAAAUUGAACAACAGAGUAAUUUCUAACAUAGAAAAAGUUGUAUAAUUGUCCAAUUAUUUAUAAUUUUAAAUAAUCCGGAUUGGUUUGUUAGAAAAUCAUCUCUUUGAUUUUUGAGAAUUUUUCAUAAAGAAUAGGGAAUAUAAUGUUCAUAUUUAAAGUAAGUAAGUAACACAUCUCAAUUGUUGAAAUUAUUUUUCCAUUAAAUUCAACGAUGACGAAUUAAAGUCAGAAAAUGACAAAAUCAGUGGUGGCUUGCAAUAAUUGCAAGGUCGCUGGACCCUUGCAAAAUGUGUGAAAGUAAAUAAUUGAAUGCACAGAGCUCGCUUUCUUACUUUCGUUCCGGUUUCCUGGAAAUUUCUUGGAGCUUUCAUAUACAGGAUUUGCCAUGUUAAGAAACAGGGUCAUGAUAAUGGGGCAAACAUUUGAUUGAACCAAUAAAGGAAGGGAAAGCAAAGUAAGGAAAAUUUGAAAUUAUAAGAAGCUAAAGAAACAUCCAACGUCAUUACCUCACUGUUACAAUUUUUAUUGAGAUUUGAGCAAGCACUUACCUAAACAUUACCUCCGCCUGUAAAUUUAUAACUUUUGAAAAUUAUGAGAUCUUAGAUUGCGAGAUAUUAAAAUUUAGAAUUUCAAUAUUAUUAUUCUUUUAAAAUGAAAUUUGAGAUAACAGAGUGAUUGAUAAUAUAGGAGAACUUGACCACGGUAGGCCAAAAAUCUAGGCAAGCACAUGCAUACACAGAAAUGUGAUGGAUUCUGAAAGAAAUUAAAGUAAUAAUGUACGUAGGUCCUUAAAAUAAAAAGCAAAAUCGCUUGGUGGCCCAGUAUAAUAUAUAUAUAUUAUAAUACAAUAUAAUACAAUAUAAAUUCAAUCCUUACCUGAGGCAUGGAUGCACAACGAGUUACCUGCCACGCUGGAGCACCUUGAGGUCAAUUGUUGCUCGAAUCUUGCUUUCUUGUCACGGAAUGGAAAUCUACCUCAGGCUCUUAAGUACCUUCGUGUUGAAGACUGUUCAAAGCUGGAGUCGUUAGCAGAAAGGUUGGACAACACAUCCCUUGAAGAAAUUGAUAUUUCAGGGCUUGAAAAUCUUAAAUCAUUACCUGCCGGUUUGCAUAAUCUCCACGAUCUUCAAAAGAUUUGGAUAUCUGAAUGUCCAAAUCUUGAGUCAUUUCCCGAAGAAGGAUUGCCUUCUACGAAACUGACUCUGCUCACGAUAUGUGAUUGUGAGAAUCUGAAGGCUUUACCCAACUACAUGCACAAUCUCACUUCAUUGAAAACUCUGCGUCUCGGUAAUUGUCCGAAGCUCACAUACUUUCCAGAGCAGGGCCUGCCUAAAUCACUUUUGGAACUAAUUGUCUCUAAUUGCCCGUUGAUAGAAGAAAGGUGCAGAAAGGAUGAAGGAAAAUAUUGGCCCAUGAUUUCCCAUAUACCUUGUGUCCAAAUUAAUUUCAGAUCAGUUUUUAAAGGAAGAUCCAUCAAUUAGAUUGUGUAAUCAUAAUUUCUUUUUUUUUUCCACCUGUAAUUUAAUUGUAAUAUGAACUGACUUUAUCAAUAAAAGAAUAAAAUUAUGUUUAGGAUUGUCAGUGAAGUUGAUAAAGUAAGAAGAGCAGAGGAAAGAAGUAAUAAGAGAAGAAGAAACUCCAGUUCAAGGAGGGAUGUUAGUGAAACUGAUUAAAUGAGAAGGAACAGAGAAAUCGUGUACAUGCUGUUAUUGUGCUCUUGACAGCAGCUAAGCAGCUCACUUAAGCUGACGUGGAUUAGUUAGUUAUUUGGUUUAACAAAUUAUCAUUUUAUAUAUAUAAAUGAUAAAAAAUUGAAUUUAUAUUGUAUUAUAAUAUAUAUAUAUAUUAAACCAAACCAAACUUAUGUUAUAUGGUUUUUUAAAAAAAACUUAUUUUAUAUGGUUAAAAGAAAACCUUAUGUUAUACGGUUUCAAAAAAAUAAACUUAUAUUAUAUGGUUUCUUAUUAAUAAUCACACAAACCUUAAGGACUACCAUUUGUUUUUUGAAAAAAAAAAUUGAAUCUAAAGAUUUUUGAGAAAUGACCCAUUAUAAGUUGAACUUAUAUUAUAUAUAUUUUCUCCUUACAUGGACAACCACAGAAAAGACCGACCAGUUAUCUCCAUGAACUCGUAUAAAUUCAACCAAAAUAACAAUUCCAAUCUUACCAAAUUCUUGAGUUAAAUUUAUUCAAUGCUUUUUUUUUAUAGGAAAUUUUUUCCAAUGCUACUUUUCCUUUUUUGGGGAAAUUAGACCGCGGUAUGUGUAGAAGACAUUGAGGUGUAAAGCGACAUUAAUUUCAUGGGUUAUGCGUUAUAGGCAUAAUAUAUUUUCAGUCCAGAUUCAAUUAUGCAAAGAGGCUUGAGAACUUAAAAUUAACCACAAACUAAACAGACGAAGUAAAUACAUGAUUAUGCAACAUAACAUUAAUUCUCUCAAUUUAUAACUGUUUUUGCUACAUGAAUCUUGCACAGUUAGUCCUAAUUGAAGACUAAAAAAGAACAAUUGGAACAAGGUUUUGGAAUAGAAUGAUAUACAAUCAAUAUGAUCCAUUUCUAGUGGCCAAAGCUAAUUAACUGCAAUUUCUAGACUCCUAAGUAUACUAGUCAUAGGAAACUGUUUAGAAAACUAGUGAUCAGAUUAGAUUUUGAAAAGAAAUAAUGUUCAUUUCCCCUUCUCUACCUUUUUUUUUUUUUGUUUUAUUUUUAUAGCAAAGAAUUAUAUCAUGAAAAGAAUCAAUUUAAUCACCUUUUCCAGCAGCCCAAUUUUUCUUUUAUAAAAUUGGACCACGGAGACAAAGAAGAAUUAUUCAUACCUUCAUCACUAAGGAAAUACUUUUCGGUAUGGCUAAGGUGAGAAAAGGCUUUCCACAAACACUAGUAGUUUGUAUUCCUAUAAAUUUUCUUUGAAGUCAAUAAAAACCAUAAGUUUUUUACAAUAACCAUCUCUUUGAUCAAAAAGUGCCGUAUUCCUUUAGAAUUUAAAACCGGCAAAAACCGAAUCGAUCAGUGUCUUUGAAGAGACAUAAUGGUCGUAAUUCUUUAAAUGAGUUGGCUAUGGAAAUCCUUAUCCAAGAUUCUUUUACGCCAUAUUCUUUCGUAAACCAAAAUUCAUUUUGGAAUACUCCUCGUCCCAACAUACAGAGACAGUCUGUCAUAACUUUAGCCGAAUACUUAUGAUAAUGAUCAUUUGUGAUUUCAUCAGGCAUAGGCAAGAACUUGAACUUGUCUACUACCAACCAAAAGCCGAAAUUCGCCUGCCACCCCCAAUGAUUCCUAAUACUAUUUUAAUACCAAGUUUGAUCACAAGAUAAGAAUCAGAUUUAACACUUUUCCAAGUGUUGUUUCUCAAAGAGAAGUCAUACACAUUUUAUUUUCUACCAGGAACUGUUGUACUAUCUAGCCAAAUGUAAAUUUCCGGUCUUGGUAUUCUCUUACCUCUCUAGUGGAAGGAUUGUAUAUCUUAUAUAAAUAGUUAUUAUAAUUACGCUCCGAGUCUCUCUUUAGUCCUCAAGCACAAUAAGCCAUUACAAGAACCCAAUAUCAAAACCGAUUCAUAAAGCUAACCAUUGCUUUAAUUUGCAAGUUAAAGAAAAAAUCACUUCAGGUUUCAGGGAUACUGUACGUAAAAUCGAGGAAGGUAACUGGAAAACACUUGUAUAUAUGUCAAGCAAACUGCAGGAUUUGUGAUUAUAUGUGUAAAAUAGAUAAGACUGAUAAUAUAGCAAUCGCAUAUACAUGCCAAUCCUAGUGGAGUAAAAGCUCUAUUGCCACUAGAAUUCUGUUCGUGGAAUUUGUUCUCAAAUUUCAACCGUAUGUAAAGUUUGAACUCUAAUUGCUUAUAAUGUAUUGAUUAAGAAUAAUCCUAAGAGUUCCUGAUUGAAAUUUUUUAAUGACUUUUUUAUUGUUUUGGAUAUACAAAUUGCAUUAAGAAAAAAUAUUGUCAAUUUCAGAGGAUAACGGGAAAUGAUUAUGCUUCAAAAGGCCAGAGAUUAGAGAAUAAAGAAGCAUUCAUUACUGAUAUACAAAAGAGAAACACUCCAAAAUUGCUAGCAAACUAGUUUCAUUUACUAUUUGGAUUUUGGAAGGGGUGAAGUUUUGAGCUUCAGUUGUUCCUCUAAAAUCAAAAGUAGCAAUUAAGCGUUCUCAUUUAGAAAGAGCAAAGAAGACUUAUUCGUACCUUACUAAAGCUAACAUUAUGGCAUGGUUGUUCAUAUAUAACGGCUGCUCUGUUAUGCUAGCUUCUCUGUUUUUUUUUUUUUUAUAUUACAUGAGACUAUUGCUCAAAUUACAACUCAUAUUACAUGAGAGUAUAACUGAUAUUUACAAAUCAAACUAUCACUGGGACCAAUUUACAUCAAUGCUAAUGGAACUCUGCCCAGAUUUUAACCCUCACAAAUAUUCGAGGGAUGUCUACUCCUUACUUUUAGGUAAGGGAGAAGACUACCUUCACUCAAUUUUAAUUGAGGAAGAAAAUAACCCCACAAUGCAUUUGCUUCUAUUUUUGCUUGCAGUUUUGAACAUAAAUUCUUGCUCAAAUAACCCAUAAUUAAAUAACACUAAUAUGGCUCGUGAAAUCCCAUAAUAGCUAAUUACGCAACUUUCUCCUCCUCCUCAAUUCUGUCUUCCCCUGCUCGUACACUAAAUUCAAAAUUCAAUGCCCCUAAAAACAACACAAGAAAUCUUUGAGAUAAUUCAUGACCAGUUUAUACAUAGUAGCAAUUGAAAAAGGAAAAAGAAUGAAAGAGUUAAUUAUUAUUCAGACCUUCACGUAUUCGGAAGUUUGUUCUGCUAUUGGGUGAGAUCAAGCUCUCAGCAUAUACUUCCAUAUGAUACUUUCCAACAUUUUCUUGAAAGCCAUCAAUCAUAAAAUCUUCAUACUUUUUUUCAUCCUUUGGAUCAAUAAGUACAAAUUUCUCGUCUAAAACAUACAAAAUAAAAUCAUUGUCCUUCUUGGAACAUAAUGGCUGCAAUGCCUGAAUUGAAUUGGCUAAUGAAAUUUAAGUCCAGGAUUCUCUCAGCCCAUAUUCUUUCAUAAUCCAAAAUUCUUUCGACCAUAAUGUUGACUCUGAGAUUAAACAAAGGCAAUUUCCUAUAAUUGAAUAUGAAUAUUUGGAAUGAUAUGGGCAAACAUUUUUCAGGUAAGGCUAAGAAUUUGAACUUGUCUUUUGCCAAAACAAAUGCCGCAAUCAUGUAAUCAGAAUUGAGCUUACAAAAACCGAAGUGGACAGUUCCAUUGAGAUUGGUCACCCGAGAACAAUGAUGAAAAAACUUAAAAUCAGUUUCAAAGGUGUUCCAAAGUAUUUUUCCUUAAAGAGAAGACAUGCACACCUACUACUACUUUGGCAUUUCUAUAAGAGUGAGAAAACCCUAAAACCUUGAACUCAUCUAUUGAUUGAGCAUAACCUAAGCUAACUAACGGUGUAUCUCUAUUAGUGAAGGGUUCAUAGUCGUUUGGUAUUCUCUUGAACUCUCUAGUUGAACAAUUGUAUAUAAAUAAAGUUUCAGUUGCAGUUUCAUCUCGGAGGGAUAAGCACAACAAAGCAUUACAAGGGCAGCAUAUCCUAAGACAAUCAAAAGAGCUUUCUUUAAUUGGAAAAUCAAACUGAUCUUCCGUAAUAAUUUUGCUAUCGAGGUCUAUACGGAGAAGAGAGUUUCUUACCAAGCUCUUGACCAUAUCAACAAGAACCAGCGUUUGUCCUUGUUGGUUUUUAGUUUGGUUGAUCUUGACGAACCGAGGAUUAGUAAUUAAGGCCCUGAAUGACUUGGAUAAACACUUGAAUAGGCAGAGAGACUUGGCGGGGAGUUUUGCAAACACAUCGACGAUGAUAUCUGGAGGAAGAGCCACAUUGCUUCUUCACCAAGUUAAGCAAAGACUUUAGGGUUUCUUGAUCUCAAUUUGGUAGCCGUGAUGUUUGUAAAGAGCAGUCAUUCGCAUAAAAACUAUUAAAUAUAUUAUUUUUUUAUUCUAAAACAAUAUCAAAGCAUUUUUUAAAUACUGCUCCGUUAAUUUUGAAGUAAAGUUUUUGGGCUCCUUUCAAAAUAUUUUGCCUCUACUCCCAAAUGGGGGUUUUUAAUUAAAUACCCUUUAAUAGUUUUAAAAUUAUUUAAAUACCCCAUCCUUUUUUAGUUUUCAUGGAUACCCUAACAAAUGUGAGUAAAGUCAGAAAUACCCUUAAUGAAUGCAUCAAAUUCACUCAAUGAAUUGUCUUCAUAUUUCUUUCCUCAUUUCUUUCACCCAAAUCUAUUUUUGCUGCCGAUUCUCUCAAAGUCUCUUAGAAUCUCUCAAAAUCUCUCAUAACUUCUUACACAAAUACAAUUAUGUAUUCAUUUCUUUAACACCCACUCUUUCUUUAAAGGUGCAUUGCUUAUUAAACAACCCAAUAAGAGAUGUUAAUGUUGUUAGGUUUUAAAUUUUUUAAUUUUUAGGAAAAUUUAGAAAUUUUCCUCACAUUACAAUGUUUUAUUUUCACCAUUUUUUCUUAUAUGUAGAAAUUUAUGCAAUGUAGGUUGUUUGAUUAUUUUUUUCAGCAAUAUAGCUUAUUUAUGGCGAAAAUGUUUCGCGUUAUGCAUUCUUUUGAUAUCGUGUACGUCAUAUAGUUAGUCAUAUAGGUCAUGUAAAUAAUAUAGUCGUGUAAGUCGUGUAGGUCAUGUAAGAAAUAUAGUCAUGUAAGUCGUGUAAGUAAUAGAGUCGUGUAGGUCGUGUAGUUACUUGUAUAUGAAAUUUGAUAUUAUUAUUUUUAUUGUAUCAUCAGAUAUGGGAAGUGGCUCGUUCUCACUUCGAGGGGAGGUGUUAUGGGAUUAUGACAACUAACAUUGCAGAAAGUAUGAAUUCUCUCUUGAAAGAAGCACGAACCUUGCCUAUUCAUAAGUUAAUGGAUUGUAUCAUUGACAAAUUACAAGAAUAGUUUGCAAAAAGGCGAGAUAUGGAAAUGGAUGCAUGUACUCUAAUUUGUUGCAUUAUGAAAUAACUAAAUUUUUUUACAUUCCAAUUUAAUUUCACUUCUUUGUUUUUAUAAUUUCAGUUGACAUUUUCUACAUAGCAGCAAAUAUAAAUUCUUAGCACCAAUUAAGUCUUUAAAGAACUAAAUUAAUCUAAUGAUUAUUGGAAAAAGUCGUGUAAUACAAGAAGUCGUGUAAUACAUGAAGGUGGUGUAAUCGCAUAAUAUAUGAAGGUCGUGUAAUACACGAAUAUAUUACAUGACCUUACACAACCAAAUCGUGUGUUCAUAAAUUACAGCAAAAAAAUAAAUUUGCAUAUUCGACAGUUUGAGAAAUGAUUAGAUUAAUUAUUAUAAACAAACAAAGUUAUUAGUUUACAAUGUCAAUAUUUGGAUAGGAUACACUAAUGGGCAUCGCAAUUAAACAAAUUACAACCAUUUAAAAAGUUUUUUUUAUCUUCAAACUGUUUUCUUCCUCUGCCCAAGCAUACAUGAGGAAUGUCUGCAAAUAAUAAAUUCAUGAAAUCAAUUAGAAACAACUCUUAAUCAAAGGCUGCUUGAAAAAACCACUUUAGUUAAUUCUUCCUAUUAAUAGCCCAGGACCAUUGAUAGUGAUGGCCUAUAAAAUUUCAUUUUACUAAAUCAAACUAUUCCACCAGCAAUGACUUCAUUUAAAAAAACAAUACUCACAUGUUAGUUGUUCUCCGAAAGUAAUGACUGGUCAUAGAAAAGUCUUUCAGCAAGUUGCUUUCAUGAAGGUCGUGUAAUUGCAAUACAUGAAGGUCGUGUAAUCGUGCAAUACAUUAAGGUCGUGUAAUCGUGCAAUACAUGAAGGUCGUGUAAUACACAGCCUUAAAUCCUACAUAACCUUACACGACCAAAUCAUGUGUUACAUGACAAAAUUAUAAUCGGCACAAUCCAUCAAAUUUUCACAAUUUGCAUGCAGCAAGACAACUAGAAAUUUAUUUUUGAACAUGUAAUGAGAGACCCGCAACUAAUUAAUCUAUAUUUUCUAUAGAAACCCUAACUUUUUGUUUUUUUUCCCCGAAUAUCAACAAGAAAACUAAUUAUAGGGAAUUGCUUACCUCAACUAGUUACAUUAUGACCAUUUUAUAGUAAAAGAUCAACUCUCACCGAUGAUUAUGUAGCGACAAACUAGGCUUCUCUUUCUCAGUUGUGGCAGCUUCUCCUUCUCAGGCUCAGUUUGCUCGUGUUGAAGUUCGAUUUAGCAUGUAUGGAAAAUGAAUAUUUGUUUCGGUAGAGGUGAUGCCGGUGAGGGAAUUGCAGAUGUGAUGCUGGUUGAUAUUUGAUUUAACAUGUAUGAGAAUGGAGGAUGAGUGUUUGUUUGUUUGAGUAAAGGUAAUGAAAGGAAUUGCAGCAGAUAUGAGUGUUUGUUUACUUCAGUAGAGGGGGGAGAGGUGUUGUCCGUUGAGUUGAAAUGUUUUAAAAUGAGGAUAACUUAGUAAUUUCCUAUCAAUUUUUAAAAGAUAUUGAUGAAAAUUUUGACAAAAUCAAAUUUUAAGGUAUUGAGAUAAUUUUUGAAGUAUGGAGGUGUACUUGCCGCAAUUAACUUUCCCAAAUGCCCAGCUAAAUACCCAAUGAAUAGCUCCGCCUCGAAUAUCAGAUGAAUAUCUCCAAUGAAAAUCACGUUCAACUCUUUUUUUUUUUUUUUUCCUCCCCAAGAGCUGGUUUUCACAGAGAAAACGUCUACAAUUUUUUCACAAAAACCAAAUUUCACAAUUUUGUAGUCAUCAAUUUGCUCAGCAUAACAAAACCCAUAUAAACUUUUCACUAUUUUACAUAUAGUAUAAUAUAACUCUUCUCCUCAGUCCUCAGUUCCCUCUUAUGAGAAAACUAAAAUUCACGUCUCCUUCUUCGAUAACAAAUUCACGUUAAAACCCUCAAAAACAACAAGACUUGCCAAUAUUUUAUAAUAAAGAAGAGAGAAACAAUGCCUUCAUAUCCUCGAAGUAAAUGAGAACUUGCAAUAAUUAAAGUAAGUAGUAACAUACGGUUUGCGACCCUGUUGAUGAUAGGCGUCUAGGCUAGCAAGUGGCUUUAGUAUGUAAAACUAUCUAGAAUCAAAAUCUAUGUACAUUCGAUAAGCGGGUCGGUCAGCAGAGUAGUAACCUUGGAUCAGGGUAUCAACUUGGAAACCAAAUUUCUUGUAAAGAUUCACAGCGGGAGUUCUCAAAGGAUCAACAUGAAGCGUUAUGCGGAGCACAGUUCUGGUUCUGCAUUUCUUAAUUGUUGCUUCCAGCAGUGCCUCUCCGUGACCUUGUCCCCGAUAAUUCUCCUUCACUAAUUAAGUUCACCCCAAAACCCAUUAAUUUCAUGUCAAUUAAAAAAAGAAAAGAAAAUGAAUAACUAACAAAUAUUUCUUUGAGGACUUUUAUCAAACAGUUGAGAUUACGGGCAUGCAGUGGAAAUUUCAACAAUGUGGACAAAGAUAUGGGACCUGCAAGCUUGGUGAUAGAAGCAGACAAGGAAGUAGGCCACGCGUACAUGACGUAGCCAACGACUUGUCCAUGAAUAUGAAUGUAAAGCAGGCCUGAGUUCUUCUUUUUCAGCUCUUCAUCAAAAGAUCUUGCCAGUGAUUCGUGCUUGGGAAAAAUCUUCUUCUCCAUCUUCACAAUCUCGUCCACUACGACAGUCCAGUUCGUUGAGUUUCUCUGCAGCUCCGUGACGGUUCCAUUACUCCCCAUGGCACGUGGCUUGUUGCGACUUACAGUUGAUCCAGCACGUACAGAAAAUUAGAAAUGAAGCCUCCUAGCAUUCUUUCGAACAGGCAAAAAAGUCAAUGGACAUGGAGGCGCCAUGUGUGGAAAUGUUAAGAGGAUGAUGAAGCCCCCAAGAGGCCAGCGUGGCGUGGCAUUGCACCUCAUCAUUUUUUUAAUGCUAAUCUGUAGAGCGGCCCAAAAUGACGGCACAAUAUAUAGCUGGCAAAGCCCACCCAAGCCCAACUAUUUGGGCCAACAUAUCAUAAAUUAAAACAAAUAUAAAAUGCACUGUACAGCGCAGACAAAGAUGCUUUGUGCAGAGAUGUGUUUUCUUUAUGGGUCCAAUUAUAUUGGUACCGCUCUAAGGUAGAGUAUCAUUUCAUAACUACAUUAUCAAAAUCAUAAUUAUUUUUUUAUUAUUUAUUACUUUGCGUGUGUGACUGAGAUUCGUGAUCCAUCAUAGAUCAGCUCCAACGUAACAGAAGCCUUCUUUUAUUGCUCAUCAUCUUUAGCAAACAUUCAUUGGCUUUGGAUGUUGCUACAAUUUAUUUUGCAUAAUUGAAAAGUAUAGUAGAUGUGCAUAAUGUUAGAAAUUUUAUUAUAAUAUAACAAAAUACGUAAUAACUUAUACUAAGAUGUUAAGAAUUCAUUGUGCCAAAUUCCUAUAUUUGUCUAUAAUAAAUCAAAAUUUCAAAAUAUAAAAUAUGGAUAAAAUUAAAUAGAAAAUGAUUCAAUUUAUAAAAUUAAAAAUGAAAUUUGAUUAAAUCAUAUUUCUAAGUAUGAAUAUUUAGUUAAACAUUUUUGAAAUAAAGAAAAUUAUUAAAAUUGAAAAAACAAAUAAUUAAAAAAUAGAAUUUUAAAAUUGAAAUAAAACUAAUUUUAUUGAUUGAUAAUAUAUUACAAAGAGAGAUGAGAAAAAUAAAUUGAGGUGAAAGAAGAGAAGAGAAGGUGUGUAGAGAUGUGUUCCACCCUCUUCUAUUUAUACUAAUACAUGGUUAAUCCAGACUACGCAAAUAAAUAAAACUAAUUACACCUUAACCGUAUAUUUGUCACACUGAUAAAACACAAACUUAACUUAAUCCACUAAUGCAUAUCCAACACAUUCCGUUAACAAUUACCAUAAAGUAGUGUACUAGGGUAUAUACAUAAUCAUUUUACAUAACUAUACGCUGAAUGUAAUACAUCAGCAAACUUGGAAAUCAUACAUUCAUUACAAAACUGCACCAUAUAAUACCCAGAGGAAAUAAGUCUCAAUACUUACCGAGAUCAUCAUCGCAUGAAUAGAGGAUAGAAAACCUUUCAAUACCUAACAAAACUUAACUACAUCAUACAGGUAAAGUAAUUUAACUCUCAAUACACAAUGCACAUAGCUUAUAAAGAAGACUACAUAUAUGAUGAUUGGCAAUCACAUAUCAUGACUCAAUUAAAUAUAUAAUACGUGUAUAUAAAAUCAUAACAUGAUAUUAAAUCAUAUUAUCAAUCAUAAAUGCUUCAUAGAAUACAUAAUGGUAAUAAUUGUCUCUACUCACAGAUUUUGUUUCACUCGUGGGUUCGUUGGGGCUCCUGUGGGUUUCUAAAUUCUUGAAAUUCUCAUAAAAUGCAGGAUUCAAAAAUUAACUGUUAGAACUGAUAUAAAAAUUAAUACGUACGAUGUAAAUUAAAUCAUAAUUUCUUAUAUUUCACAAAUCUAUUACCCACUGACUCACUUAAUAUAGAUCUAACUGUCCAAUUCUAUUUCUUAUAAUAUUUCUCUCAAUUCCACUUUUCAAAUUCUUUUCCACUCACAACUUUUUAAUUUUCUUUUUCACUCUUUUCUUUCUUUUCCUCAUUUCCCACUCUCGGCUUCUUUCUUUUCUUUUUCUUCUCUUUUAUCUUCUCUACUUUCUUAUUUCUCUCAUGUUUCCUUUAUUCAUUCUCAGUGCUCAAAUUUGAUAAAAUGAAGCAGUGUCAAAAUUUUGCAUUUAUAUAGCCACCAAACAGCCACCGAAUUGAAGCAAGUAGCUCUCACUUUUUAAAUAUAUGUAGGCACCACUUGAAGCAAGUGAAUAUGUAGCUAGCUGCUUCCAAUUGCCUGCACUUGUGCUAUAUAAUUGUAAAAUUGGACUUGGGUUUGAGAGGCCUCUUCAAUGCUUUCUAUUCUCCCGUAAUUAUUGUUAUUAGAAUAUUCCAACCUAGCCUACGUACAACUGCAUUCUUCACUCGUGCUCAUCGUAGGCCUCUUUCAGCCAAUGGUUAAUACUAAAAAACUUAUCACCCAUAUAAUUUUUUAAUUUGUGUGUAGGGUAAUAAUAAAAUUGAAAAUAAUUAAAAAAUAGCACAAUAAUGAGUUUUCACAAUAAAACAAAUCAAAUGAAAAUUGAAAAUUUAGAAAAGUGUAUCUAAAAAAAAGGAGCAUUUUUGGAAAUAAAAUGAAUAUAACUAAAAAGGGGCUUUUAUGAGAAGAUCAUAGGGGUGUCAAUAGUCCAACUCUUAUAUUUAAAGUUAUUUUGACUUUGUAUUUCCGAUGAUAUAUUUAUUAGGUAAUUUUUAAUUGAGUCAUUAUUUGUAGAAAAUUUUUCUGAGACCAGAAGUUUAUAAAAUGAAUCAAUUAAAUCCCUCUAAGUAUAAAUUUAUGUCAUUCAAGUCUUUAACUUAAUUUCUUCGUUAAAAUUAUUAACAACAUCAAGGACAUUUUAGUUAAAAAACAAUUAAGCACCUUCUCAUUCUUUAUUUUUGACAGCCAACAAUAGUUUAAAGUAAACUCAAGUAACCUAAAUUAAUGUUCUUUAAAAAAAAAGAAAAAAGAAAGAAAGAAAAGGUUAGUUAAUGUGUAGGCAAGCAAUAUCACUUCAUCAACUGCACAGAUAUGAUUUCUUUUCAAGCAAGUGGAUUUCUUUUAUAUAUAUUCAUCAUGUUAUCAAAUGAAUUAAUAAAUUGGUGAUCCUAGUGAUGUGUAUGGAACCAAUAGGAUAUCACUAGCUAUACAUGUUUGAUUUGAUUGUGAAAUCCUAUUGAUUAAUUGUUUUUAAUAAAAAGAAAUUGAAGUCUCUUUUUUCUUUUUUCAUUUUUGGACGGCAUGGAAUUAGCCCACAAUCUCAAUAACUAGAUGUCAAUGAAUAAGCAAUUGACAAUAAUUCUAAACAUGCGAAUUAGACUUCAAUCAAUGUCACUCAACCUGUGGGACAACAUACACAACUUUUAUGGGCUGUAUCUCAACCUCAAAAUGAAGAACCAAUGUUAUUGACAAUGAGUAGAAUAGUACAAUAUUCACCUUGAGCUGGCAUUUAAUUCUCCAAAAUAGAAUCUAGAAGACAAUUAACUAUUUCUUGUACUUGAAUUUCAGUUUACCAUAAUGUUGUCAAGGUGUUUCUUAGUUUCAAUUUAAUUGACCUUCAUACUUUUAGUUUUAUUUUUAGACCGAAUGUUAUUGUGGUUUUUCUAAUAUUAUAUUCAAUACAUGUUAUUUAGUUUAACAAUCAUCGUAUAUUUUAUAAAUGUGACGGAAUUACAUUUUCAUGUGUAAUUCCAAGAGUUAUUAUGGUUAUGUUUUUUAGUGGUGCUCUCUUUAUUCGAAUUAGUUUAAAAACUAAAGAUUUUGUUUAAAUUGUUGCAGAAAUUUGUUCCCGAUUACUCAAAUUGGUAAAUAGGCUAUUAGGCUCUGAAAAAAAAAUUAAUGCAUAAGGGUAAAAUUGUACUUUAAAUCACUAAUAUGAUAUAUAUGGGAAUAUAGUUAUCUUUUUAUGUUUAAAUUAACGUUUUCACUAACUUUUAUGGCCAAAGAAUUAGGUGAAGAAUCUGAAAGACAUAAAUUUGUAUUUAAAAGGAUUUAAUUGAUUCAUUUUAUAAACUUUUGGUCUUUGAAUUUUUUUUCUAUAAAUAAUAAUGACUCAAUUAAAGAUCAUCCUAUUUAUUAUUGGCUGUUUAAAAAAACAAAAGAGAUGACUAGAGUUUAUCACUUUGACUAUAACGUGGGUCAUAUUGGUAGUUGCCAUGAUGGCAUGUCGAAUUUGGGAUGAUACGUUGAGGACUUGAGGUUGGAUUUCUUUCAGCUUAAAAAAAAAAAAAGUAUGCGGCCAAAAUUUUGCUUAAAAGGUUAAAUGUACCCCUGUCAAAGGACCAUCUCACCUCUGACCAUUUAACUUCUACCGUUAAAUCUGGUAUAUUUAACUAGUUUUGACCUAUGCAAUGAUUUUUUCUUGCAAGUUGUGUCAUGUGUGGAAGGGUAAAUUUGUUUUUUUUUGGGUGAACUUGUUCUUUUCUUAAAAGUUUCGGGGCUAUAAGUCUCUUAACUUAAAGUUAUAAUUAUAAUUGCACUAAUGAUACAAUAAAUUUUUGAUAAAUAAAUAUUUAAGAAAUUAAUAACUUUGGGUAAAUAACACACUUCUCCCGCCCCAACUUGCACUAUUUAAAUUAAUAAUUUCAUUUAAUGCAUAUGAUAAUAUUUUUUUUAAAUCCAUUAAGGCCCAAUGAAAAUAUAAAUUAAUAAUUAAUUAAAUAUAAAAAUUCAUAACUACUAAAAUAUAAAUUUGUAACAUUAAAGAAUUCUGUUUUUCUUACAACUUCAAUCAUCUAAAUUAAACUCUUUGCAAAUAAAUGCAUAUAGAGUUGUUUGCUUUUUUUUUUAAUAUUUAUUCCUAAAUUGAAUUCAAUCUCCUCUCUUAAUUUUUUUUUUUUUUUUUGUAGAGCAUGCACCACAUUUAUAACUUUUUUUUUCAUGUUUUAGAAAGUAGUUACUUAAUAUUAUUAUUGCUUGAAAGACCUCUUUUGCAGAAAUAUUUGGCAAACACAAUUAUCAUAUGAAUCGUAAUUGUCAUCAGCAUAGUUAUCUAAUACCCUUUUAAUAAUCUGGUUGAAUUAGUGAGUGAUUCCAUCACUACAGCUAUGCUAUUAAAUAUAGUAGUCAUCAGAGGAGAUAUUGUUGACAUGAGGAAGUACGAUAUGUGUUUAUACAUAAGUAAAAAUAUUGAUAAAACUCUUCCUAAAAACAAAAUAACAAAAUUAUGUUUCUAAAUUAAUAAAUAUUCAUUGAUCAAUAAAUUAAUAAAUUAUUAAAAUUUAUAAAUAAAUAAAUUCUCUAAAAUGAUAUUUUUUUCUUAGUCCUAGCAAGUAGCAAUAUUAUUUUAUAGAGGUUUUAUUUUAGUAAUAGCAAUAGUAUAAUUAUAAUUAUUAUUAUCAUUAUAUAUAAUAAUUAGUUAUAAUAUUUACUAUUAUGAUAGUUAUCAUUAUAAUUGUUAUUAUAAUUGUUAAUUAUCACUAUCAUUAUUAUUAGUUAUUUUACUAUUUAUUAUUAUCGUUAGCAUAGUAGUAAGAUAUUAUGUCGCUAUUAUUAUUACUAUUAAUUUUUUUAUUUUGUAAAUGGGGCAAAUUUCAAAUUUUAAAAACUAUAAGAAGAAUUUCAUUAUUUCCACUAGUUUCAUUCUCAUAUAUAUAGAUACACACACAUAAAGAAAUACGAUCAAUUAUUCACAUUUCUCUAUCCCACGAAUAAAUACUGUAAAUUAUUAUUUUUUAAAAGAAAAAUAUCAAAACGGUGUGGGUCCCAGCAUAAGCCUUCUAACCUACCUUCUCCCUGUAGAAAAAAAAGAAAAGAAAGAAAAACUCAACUUUUAGGAAAAUGUUUUGGAAAAUGAGAUUCUUCCCACGUUAAGCACCACAAUAAGCACCAAACGGUGCGUUUUGGGCAUAGUAUAAAAUGAGCCAACUCACGUGAUACACACAUAGCCACCAGUAAACACGCGCAGUAGAUCUCACGCGAUAUACACCUUUUCUCCAUUUGCUCUCACAAAAAUCUCACCGUUUCUCUCGCUGUGUCUCUCUUUGAUCUCCAUUCUCAAACUUUCUCAGGCAGUGGUGCUCGGCGUUGGUCUCUGGCCGUGGGUUUCCGGCUGUGGGUCUCCGGCCGUGGGUCUCUCACCGCUGGUCUCUCACCGUGGGUCUGCUCUCUCUCUUCUCUAUCAUCUCUAUUCUCAAACUUUCUUAGGCAGUGGUGCUCGGCGUUGGUCUCUCACCGUGGGUCUGCUCUCUCUCUUCUCUACCGUCUCUGUUCUCUCGAAUUGUAUAGGUAAUGGCAAAUUUCCGUGAGUUGAUUUUUAAUUUUUGAAAAUCCAGUUGAUAUUGUGAGCUUAAUUACACUUGGAUUGAUGUUGUAGUCGAAUUGUAUAGGUAAUGGCAAAUUUCCGUGAGUUGAUUUUUAAUUUUUGAAAAUCCAGUUGAUAUUGUGAGCAAAUGAGACAAUUAUUUUCAAUAGUCUUAGGAGAUGGCCUUGUGCUGGAGAUGGGAUUUUGAUAGCCUUAAGAGAUGGUCUUGUGCUGGAGAUGUCAUUUUGAUAGUUAUUUACAUGCAGUUUCUUGGUUACAAUUGGCAAUCCGUUAUAUCCUUUGAACUUGACUACUACAAAUAUUCCAAUUGAUGGAUGAGUUGAUUAUUCUUGUGUUCCUCUUAGACAUUUUUGAAAUGAGUGGCAAACAGACCAUAUUUUUCUUCUUUUUGUUUUCUUUGUAAUUGAAAUUGAAUAAUUUUAUUUGAGCUGAAUGAAAUUAGUGUAGACUUUUUGUUGUACUUUUGAGAUGAAUGCAGUAAGAUGUAUUUCUUUUUUUUUGGGGGAGAAAAAAAGAAAAUUAGACCUAGCACAUACUUAUGUAUUUCUUUUUUUUUGUCUUUGCCUAGGUGAAGUUGAAUUGGUGGUCAUUAGCAUAAAGAUGCAAUUGGUAAUUUUGAAGUUGGUUCAGUAAGCUGGUUUUUAAUAAAUUGACUACCAUUUUUUCUUUCUGGAAGGAAUCUGGGUUGUUGUGUAUAUUGAACAGAAUUUGUUCAAUCAUUAUGUCUUCAAGCACAAGCGAAAUGCAAACACAACUAAAAGCUUGUGAUAAAUGCUGCAACAACAAUAAGGUCUUGCAAACUUCACGUACAAAAGAAAAUCCGAAUCGUAGGUUUUGGAAGUGCAAAGGAUGUGGGGCUUUUGAAUGGGAUGAUGAUUGGAAGAGCAGUGAAUGUACUGAUUUUAGAGGGAUGGAAGAUCGUAUUAUAAAUUAGAAUAAAAUUGAGAUGUUGAUAGCAGAAGUCCGCAAGUUGGGCCAUCAAAUCGAAUGCUUAUCUCUUAAAUUUCAGUUGCUUGAGCAAGAACUUCAACGAAGACAACAACCAAGUGUUCUUGUAACAUACAUCCCGCAAAUAAUGAUAACUCUUUUAAUAUGUAUUAUAUUUAAGUUGUGCAAUUAAUUAAUGUAUUGUUAUUUUUCUUUUUCUUUUUGGCGAAUUGUAUCAUGAAUGCUUCAGUGGAUGUAAACAAAAACUAAUGUUUCUGUAAAGGGCAGGAAAGAUUAUGCUUAUGAUUGUUGCUGUCAUUUUAAUUUGCCUUAUCAUUUGCAUCUUUCUGUCAUUUGAUCCCCAUAACUAGUUUGUAAGGGAAUUGUUCCAUGCUUUUUCACAAAAUAUAGAUAAUUGCUGCACAUUAAAAACACAUUUAUUCUUUAGGAAAUAAUUAAAGAAUAACAAAUCUGCAGUUACAGAGGAUCAAUUCCAAUAGCAUACAAUUAAAAAAUAACAUAAUAUCAUUUAUCUCUCCACCAUUUCAGUAGCACACAAUCAAAGAAUAACAUAUUUGCAGCAUCUCCUCAAUUCCAAUAGCAUACAAUUAAAAAAUAUCAGAAUAUCAUAUAUCCUCUCACCAUUCCAGUAGCACACAAUUAAAGAAUAACACAUGCAGCAUAUCCCUCCACCAUUCCACCAGCAUAUAAUUCAAAAAUAACACAUGCAGCAUAUCCCUCCACCAUUCCACCAGCAUAUAAUUCAAAAAUAAAACAUGCAGCAUAUCCCUCCACCAUUCCACCAACAUAUAAUUCAAAAAUAACACAUGUAGCAUAUCCCUCCACCAUUCCAAUCCAAUAGCACACGGCCAAAUAAUAACACAGCUGCAGCAUAUAAAUCUAAUAAAGGAUCAUGCAUAGAUAAAAAACAAUUUCAUGUAUGAAAUCCACAAUCUUACAUAUCAUAGCCAAGGGCUUGUAUCCGAAUAUUAAUGAGAAUAAAACAAAAACAAUGCUAUUCUAGGAAAUCACUUCGAAACUCCUUAUCAACUUCAUAUUCACUAUCUUGCUGAAAGAGUAGCUGCUGAAAAUGUCCAUGCGGCUGGAAUUGUGGUUCCUAUUAAAAAUAAAUAAAUAUUUUGUUAUAAUAAAAGAAAAUAAAGUAGAUAAGAUGAAUAAAUACUAAAUUUAUCACCACUUACCGUACAAGAAUUUUGUGUAGGUGUUGGAUAAACAUUAUCCCCAACCAUAUGAUGUAAGCUCAUAAGACCCUAAAACAAACAUACAUUAAAUGAAGCGAUAAUAAAAAAAAUUCAUAACAUAUACUAUGAAAAACUUACAUUACAAUAGUCCAUAACUCCAUGUGGGUACAUAUUCAUAUCAACACAACUUCCUUCAGGAUUUUGAAAUGCCUAUAGAGGAUCAAUAAUAUAUUAGAAAAAUGUCUAUGAUUAAGUAAUAAAAAUCAACGACAUGCAUAUGAAUUCCAUAAAACCUACCGUAACAACAUUGUUCUCGUGUGUUGGGAUCACAGUCAGCACUUGCUCGUUCACCUGUCCAUCCUGCAAAGUCAACAAAACAUACAUUUGAACAUCAUUUAUCUCAUAAAUUUUUUAACUUUAAUUAAAUUGAAAAUACAUUUUAAAAGUACCUUUGCAUUAGAACGUGAGGAAUUCAUUUUAGAUUUUGAAAAUUUAUUAUAUUUUUUUCUUUGACAAGGUGGCCGACCUUUACGACGCCGAGCUACUGGAUCUCUAACUGUUUCUACUUCCACACUACAACUUCCUUGGCCUGUAACAAUAGUUACUUCAUUAUCUCCGCAAGGAAUUGCCUUUGAUCAAUCCUCCCGUACAUUCUCAAUCCAAUUGAAAACAAGAUUAGAGCUUUCAAUCUUAUGUGCAGCCAUAUUCGCAACCUCCGCGAAAGUAGCACACAUUUUCUCAUAUCGUUUUUGCUCAUCCGUACAGCUAUGAAGCUCAUAACUCGCUUUCACUCUACUAUGGCAUCUCCACACAUCUUUUCUCCAUCUUCGUAAAAUAUACUUUUCUGGAAGUACUUCUACGUCAUUGCGGAUCAUGAUUGUAAUGGCAUGCCUACAAAGAAUACCUCUAAAUUGGAACCUUGAGCAGCUGCAACGUAUUUCACCAUUUUCUUUUUCAAAAUAUACUUCAAAAAAGGUUCUCUUUUUACCCUCUCCAACUUUGACAUCCUCUCUAACUAUAUAUUCACAACCCAUAGAAUUGACAAAUUCGCAAUACAUUUUCCCAAUCAAUUCUUGCUGAAAUUCUUGAAAUUUUGAAAUAGUGUACACAUCUCGGACUUGCCUCUCCAUUGCAUAAGAUGUUACACGUGGCAUUUGUUGGGAAAGACACCUGACAUCUUCUUCAACUUCCUUCUGAACUUUAUUCUUCAACGCACAACUGUAUUGCUCUACAAACUGCUUCAAAGUAGUCUUUAAGUUAACAUAACCAUCAAAAAAUGCAUUCAUACUUUCACUGCGUUGAGUAGAUUACAUUCCUGCCCAAAAAGUAUUGUUUAGAUAACAAGGUACCCAAUGAUGCCUCUCAUCAUAUAAGCCUCGUAACCAUUCGUUAUCCCCCAAAUCAUAUUCUAUAAUCAUGUGGUGCUAAGUUUCCUCAAAUUUUGCAGCACUCUGGGAAUCAUAAACAGCACAAUGCAAGACAUUACUUAUGUUGCGAUAUUCUUUAUAACCCCCUAGCUUCUCUGGAAUUUUCUUCAUUAUAUGUCAUAAACACCACCGAUGUCGAGUAUUGGGGAAGACAUUCUGAAUUGCAACUUUCAUUGCCCUGUCUUGAUCUGUAAUGAUUCCAUUGGGAGCUGAAUUAGACAUGCAGGAUAGCCAUGUUCGAAAUAACCACGUGAAUGUCUCAAUAUCUUCGUGUGAAAUCAAUCCACACCCAAACAAAAUAGAAUGCCCAUGAUGAUUAACUCCUACAAAUGGAGCGAACGGCAUAUCAUACUUAUUUGUAAGAUACGUGGUGUCAAAUGUAACAACGUCUCCAAACUCCUUGUACGCUUCCCUAUUCCUUGGUUAUGCCCAAAAAACAUUUUUUAAUCGUCCCUCAUCAUCCACUUGCACACUAAAGUAAAACCUAUUAUCUUCUGCUUGCACUUUCAUAAAAUAGUUUUGAAGAGCAGCAGCAUCUCCAUCUCCAAGCCGUAAUCUUCUUUCUUUCUGAACAUGAUUUCUACAAUCUCUUUCUAUGAAUGUCACAUUUUCAUGACCGCUAGCCUCAAUAACAAGUGAUUGAUAAUUUUUACACAAUCUGAUUCCUGCUCGAUCAUUCACAUCAAGCAUCUUUUUUGCAUAUGUAUUGAGGCUAAGAUUGCACCGAAAAUACUUGGAUUUGGUUGGAGUUAACAGCACAUGGUUGUGUUCAAGAUUUAAGCUUCGAAUUGUCCACUUUCCAUCAUCCCCUAAACCAGCUCUCAAUCUAGCAUUGCAGCUUGUUUUUGCAUUAGGUUGGGGCUUUAAAAUUUUCACAGAUUUGCUUCUUGUUUCACCACUUCUCCCACAAGCAAAAGUCACAUUUCUAAAUAUCCCAUCACUAUCCUUUCUACUAGUUCUCCUCAAAACCGGAAACCCUUUUCUUUUACCGUACUCUUUUAAGUAAAUAAACAAAUCGACAUCACUAUCAAAUGACAUCCCAAUUAUUGGCUCAUCAUCCUCCUCAUUUUUCUCCAACUCUUCAACUUCGAUGUCCUUUUCCAUAUUAUUUAUUUCUACAAAAUUGAAAUAAUUCACAUUGACAAAAUGAAAGUAACAAAAUACAAAUAAUUCAGCACAACCUUACAAAACUAAACUAACUAAUGAUGCAAAUUGUGAACACAAAUUUAAUAUAUACCAGCUGAAUUUGCAGCAUAUAUUUAUUUAUUUCGUGCUUACUAUUAACUUUGUAAUAGACAAUUAAACAAAUAAGUAUGGAAUAAUUUAUGGCAGUGUAAAUUACUAGCUGAAUCUGCAGCAUAUACUAGAUAAAAUGCCGAUCACUGUCUUGAUUUUUUAUUUUUCCAUUUCAUUAAGUAAUUUGUUUAACUUAAUUUAAAUUAAAAUAAUGGGUUGCAAAUUGAAAUUUAAGUGAAAUGGGCUGCUGCCAUUUCCUGCCUUGAGUUGAUAGAAAGGUGCUUACGGUCUACAACAUAUGAUGCGGGUUUUUGCCCAUGCCUUUUUGUUUAUAGAGAUCGACUAGACAAGUUUUUUACAAGACAAUGCGUCAUUGGAGAGGAUGAAAUGGUUUAGGCUCCUAAGGGCUGCAUUCUUUUUUUUUUUUUCUUUUUCAAUGAAAUUAAAAAAAAAAAGUAUAUCCUGGAUCGCAAUUAGUGCGUCUACGAUUUAACUAGUCGUCUUGAACAAAGAUUCUAUAACUCCUAAUCUGUAGCAUAUACGCAUCCAAUGCAUACCUGCAGAAAUUGAUUGCCGCAAUCGACGAUGAGUGAAGUCAGUCACCAAGAUGCAACUCAAUUCUUCACACAGCUAAGAGGAUGAUAUACCGUGAGAGAGCCAACGGAUUUCACACCGUGAGGAACAGUCCACAAGUAAAACAGAAAAUGCCUUAGGAGAAUUAGUUGUUCAGAUUUCUAGCUUGAAUGAGGAGUGGGUUUGGUGUGAAUGAGAGUGAGAGUGAUGCGUGCGUGAGAUGCACGUGUAAUGUGUUUGUUUGUUCAAACAGUGGCCUUUUAUAUUGCACACAAAACGUACUGUUCGGGACUUAUUGUGGUACUUAUUGUGUGCUGAAUAUCGGUGCUGAAAUGUUUUUAUUAAGAAAAAAACAAAACAGAACGUAGAAAUAGGAGCAAGCAGGCCGCAGGCCAAAACCUUGGGGGUACCACCAUACGACUUCUGACCUCCCUGCGGGCUUGUCCUUUGCAGGGGUGGUGACAUGUCACAUGCGUACCAAAAAAUAAAAUUAUCUUUUUGUAUUUUUGUAUUAUUAUUUUCCUCCGCUCAUUCACAAGUAGUGGAUGUGAAAGAAGAUUUUAUAUAGGACCGCCGCACUAUUUCAGCAUGCCGUAUUGAAUAACAAUAAAUCUUAUAAGCGAAAUUAAUGAAGAAUCUUAUAAUCCUAUUUAUUUUAGAAUCUGCUUUUCUAUUAUAUGUCUUCUUUUUUGCCCCCCCGCCCCUCCCCUCUUUUUUUUUGCUAGUCCCAACGAUUUUGAAAUAUUAACUGAUUCCCACUGGUUGAGAUAAGGAUAAUUUUUAAAAACCUCCCUGAAGUUUGAGGUUGUUGCAAGUAGACCGUCAAAAUUAUUUUAUUUAUAAAAAAUCUCAAACCGUCAGUUAAAUUUUUCUUAACUAGUAGUUGACUUUGAAAAGAUAAAAUUAUCCUUAAUGACAGUGCAAUCCUUGGCGUGAAAAUCACCGUUCUAUUUUUUAACAUUUUUAGUUACAAUGUCUCAAGUAACUAAAAAAUUUAUUUUAUCCUAUUUAAAUUAUCAAGAUUUCCUUAAAAUCCUAAAAAAAAGAAAAAAAUUGAAGAAAUAGCAACUACUACCAAUCCCAUCAUCACCCAUUCAAUUUUUUUUUCUAGUCAAUUUCUUCAAAAUUGAUAAAAAAACAUUCUUCAUCAUAAUCUACAUUCAGCAACAUCAUCAAGCCUAUAACUAUACAUCGCCUAAUCCAAAGCAUUAAAGACGAACAAGAAAAGAGAGUUAUGUGAUAUGUGAUCGUAGAUCACAAUCUAAAGAUCAGAUCAGGCCACUCUCAAACUUCCACGUCAACGUCCUUCUUGACCGGAGAGCAAAUGAGCCAUGUGAAACCACAUGGAUCCUUGACCUUUUCCACGUGCCCAGCCGCCCACAACAAUACGCGCUGUUGCCUUUAGCAAGCUUACCCUCAUCAACAAUUCCAGCACUCACAGCCUUGGCGAGGGCAGCCUCAACAUCAUCAAUCUCCAAGCAGAGGACGCAUCCGAUUCCCAUAUUCUUAGCUGCAGCAGAAUCAUCGGAAAAGUCAGAGACAAGAAAAAUGGAGCCAGCAAUCUCGAGUUGAGCUCUUGUUCAGCCUUUCGUUUGGUUUCCAUGUUGCAGUUGAUCUCCACAGCACCAAACGCUGUCUUGUAGAACUGAACAGCGUCAGCAACCUUCGAUGCUUCCACAAGCAACUGCGGCUUCAUCCCAUGAAGUUGGCCAAGGUAGCAGGAGCAGUCAUCUUCACGGUGCAGUUCAGAACAUCAGCCAUUGAGAGAGUUUUGGUGUCUAGACAAAGGGAAAGAACCUGAACUUAGGAGAGAGAAAAUCAAAGAGAGAGAAGAAAGAUGAAACCAAAGAGACGAAAUAAAAGAAAAUGAACUUCACCCAUUUUGAUACAGUGUUAAAGGCAAUAAAACGAUAACUCUUUGAUAACAAUACAAAAUAUCAAUAAUGCCCUCAAUUAGUCAAACGGCAACCAAACGGAACUAAAAUGUAACGGAUCUUUUACAACUAAAACGAUUUUGGCCAUCUACUUAUAACAGCCUCAAAUUUCAAGAAAUAGGGAUGGCAAUGGGGCAGAUAUGGGUUGGAUCUACUCUGCUCCAGAUCCAAAUCCAUAAUAAAAAUCAAGAUCCGUAUCUGCUCCAGAUCCGUUAUGAAUCCAUAUUUUUCGCUCCAUAUCCAAAUCCAAAAAAGAAAUAAAUAUCUAUAUCUGCUCCAAAUCCGAAAAAAAAUUAAAAUCCAAAUAUGCUCUAGAUCCGUCAUGAAUUCUAAAAUUCCGUAAUAAAAAAGUAAUAAUUUUUUAGAUUGAAAAUUGAAGGCUAAAAUGUAUUGAUAACAAAUAAAUUAUAUAAUUUUUCUCAAAAAUAUAAUAAAUAUUGUAGCUUAUACUUCUAUACCAAAACAACAAACAAGAAUGAUAAUAAAAUAUCAUUCAGAAGUAAUUGCAGGAGUAAGAUCAAUCUAAUAUUCUAUUGUCUCCUUCAUCAUUCUAGUAUCCACGAUACACCUACCCUCAUUUCUACAACAUUAGAUAAUGACAUAUAAAUUAAAUAUGAUUUAUAUUCAGUCCUUUAUUAUUUUUAUUAUGACCAUAUUUGACUAAAUAUAUGAAUAACUAUAUUCCUUAAAAAUUAUUUGGCCAAUAAGAUAAAAUAAAUUACCAGGUUAUAUUACUUGGAUUGCAAUUUGAAUAUUGCAUGUACAUGCUUUGAGGCUGGUUGAUCUUUAAAUUUACAAAACUAACCUUUAAGUUUUAAGAGUUUAAAUUCAUGAUAAAUACUACUAAUAUGCUAUGAAUAAAAUUUAUUAUCAUUAUCAUUCCACAAUUAUUAAGAAACUUUUAAAAUAAAAUAAAAUUAAAAGAUGAGUGGAUAUGGAUAUGGAUUUAGAUAUUAAGAUAGAUCUAUAUCUGCUCCAGAUCCGUCUUAGAUCCGCACAUCGAUAUCCAAAUCCGAUCCAAAUCCAUUUUAAACCGAUCCAAAUCCGAUCCGAUUGGAUUUGGAUCACAUGAAUCUUGGAUCAAAUCCAAUCCAUUGCCAUCCCUAUCCAGAAAGAUUUUUAAAAAUUACCCGUUGAGAUAACGUUCAUUAAUGGUAUUAGAUUCGGAGCAGACUGCAGACUCAGAAUUUUUUUUUUAGAUAACGUUCAUUAAUGGUAUUAGAUUCGGAGCAGACUGCAGACUCAAUAACUUUUUUUAAAAAAAAAAAAAUUCUGGAGAUUAACAACUUUAUUAAUUAUUCUUCGUACAUAAAUUUUUAGCCUGGAUUAGAUUUAUUUCAAUGGAAUCAGCUUUUCAUUGAAGAAAAUAAAGAUUGACGCGGGGGCGGAGGCCAACCAAUUUUUGGCAUCAGGUUCAACAACUUUAUUCUUUAUGCAGAAACUUUUAGCCGUCUGAUUAAUUUUAUCAUACAUUGAUAUUCGGUCGUUGGAUUAGAUCUAUUUCAAUUACGUGAGACAUAAUUAGCUUUUAAUUAAAGAGAAUAGAGAGUGACGCCGGGACCACCAAUUUUCUUUCCUGACUUUUGUCUAAAAAUUAUUGUGAAGUGCUUAUCUUAACCGUUGACCUGAAUCUAAUCAGAGGGCUAAAAAUUUGUGACUAGGUAAACAAACAGGCACCCAAAGUUCCAUUUAAGAUCAAUCGGAAAGAAAGUGAGCGAGCAUAAUCACAGAGAGAAAAACCUUGUUGAUUUUCCUUAAUACCUUUUCUUCUAAACCCCCCCCCCCCCCCCCGCCCCGGGGGAAAAAAACAAUAACAACCAAAAAAUAAAAAAUAAAAUAAAAGACACGCACAAACACAUUUUUUUUUUUCUAUAGAUUUCAGUUUUCUGUAGAUUUAUCCUGCCAACAUUUUUUCAUAGUCAUUUUCUGUCAAUUCUUGUCGUCCUUCCCAAAAAAAAAAAAUGUCGAUCGUUGGAGAAACCAUUCUAACUGUCACCAUUGAGAUGUUGGUGAAAAGUUGAUAUCAGAUGUGAUUCAGCUGUUCGCACGCCAAGAACAGAUCCAAGCCGCUCUUAAGGAUUGGAAGAAGAAACUGGGGAUGAUCAGGGCGGUGCUCGACGACGCCGUUGAGCAGCAGACAACGAAGCAGUCAGUGAAGACGUGGCUGGGCGGACUUGAGAGCUUAGCUUAUGACGUGGAAGACAUAUUGGACGAGUUUGCAGCUGAGGCUUUGCGGAGGAAGUUGGUUUUCGAACCCGACGAUCUCGUUCAACCUCGUGCAGGUUACUUGCGGAAACUCAUUCCUACCUGCUGCACUAAAUUCAGUCCGCAAAAUGUGAGGUUCGAUUCCAAGAUGGCGGCGAGGAUAGAGGAGAUUACUGGCAGAUUCCAGGACAUCGUAGCGCAGAAAGACCUGCUGGAUUUGAAAGAAAAUUCAGGAGGAAAGUCCAACAAAUUAAGCAGUCGUCCAGAGACCACCAGUUUGGUGAUUGAAGCCGAAGUACAGGGCAGAGAAGAAGAGAAGAAAGCAAUAGUGGAGCUGUUAUUGAAAGAUGAUUUAAGUUCUGCUGGUAGAUUCUCCGUUAUUCCUAUUGUAGGCAUGGGAGGGCUGGGGAAGACAGCUCUUGCCCAACUUGUCUACAAUGACCCAACGGUGGAAAGCCAUUUUGACUUCCAAGCUUGGGUAUGUGUCUCAGAAGAUUUCGAUGCUGUCAGAGUGACAAGAGCCAUUCUCAACUCUCUGCAAAUUUGAAAUUGGAUGUAAAAAAGUGGUGUGGAGAAGAAGAAGUGCAAUGGUUCUCAGCCCACAGAAUUCACAGGUUACAAAUGAUAUGUCAAAUCGAGUGUUCCUAAGAGGGAUACUCCAGGAAGAGUUACCAAAUUUAGAAGAAGUGUCAAUUAAAAACAACGAAGAGCUAACAUGCUUAUGGCGGGCAGGACAUGGAUUACUGCAAGACAUUGGUUCCCUUCACCAAUUGAAGAUUGCGAGUUGUCCCCAACUUGUUUCCUUGGUGGAGGAGGAAGAAAAAGGCCAACAACAGCAAGGGUUGCCAUGCAGACUUCAGGUUCUGGAAUUAAGGAGCUGCCCAAGACUGGUGAAGCUACCACAAGCAUUUCUCAGCUUUAGUUCACUUCGGGACUUGAAGAUCUCAGACUGUGAUUCAAUGGAAGCUUUACCGGAUGCGCUGAUGCACAAAGGUAAAGCACCGCUUGAAAAGUUAAUCAUUUCUGGUUGUCAUACUCUGUAAUACAUCGCCAGGGCCCAGCUACCUCCUAGUCUUAAGAAGCUGAGGGUCUACUAUUGCAACAGUCUUAGGACGUUGGUAGAUGAAGAUCAAAUUUUAGACAUCAAUAGUUGCGGUGGGUACACCUCUGUUCUUGAGCAGUUACAGAUUAUUCAUUGUCCAUCUCUGACAUCCUUAUGGUCAAAAAGCGAGCUACCCGCCACGCUUGAAAAUAUUUAUGUUGAUCGUUGCUCGAAGCUUGCUUUCUUGUCAUUGAGAGGCAAUCUAUCGAAGGCUCUUAAGCACCUUUAUAUUGUUAGUUGCUCAAACCUGGAGUCAAUAGCAGAAGGGUUGGACGACAACACAUCUCUUGAAACUAUGGAAAUUUUUAUUUGUCAAAAUCUGAAAGUUUUACCCCAUAACUUGCACAAGGCCCGCCAUCUUCGACUAUUGAGGAUAAAUGAAUGUCCAAAUCUUGUUUCCUUUCCAGAAGGAGGGCUGGCGCCUUUUAGUAAACUGACUACGCUUGAGAUAUUUAAUUGUGAGAAACUGAAGGCCCUCCCCAACGGCCUCCGCAAUCUCACAUCUCUUCAAUACUUAUUAAUACAAGAUUGUCCAAGCAUAGGAUCUUUCACUGCGAAUUGCUUUCCCACCAACCUUACUUCAGUUCGUAUUGACUAUGAGAAGAUUUAUAAGCCAUUGAUAUUGGAGCGUGGCCUGGGAUUGCACAGAUUCACCUCUCUUAGACAACUCACGCUAUUUGGAGGAGAAUGUUGCAGCUUGGUAUCAUUUCCACUGGAGAAAGAUACAGGAAAGGCACUUCCUGCCUCUCUAAAGCAUCUGUCUAUUUGGAAUUUUCCUAAUUUGGAACGCAUAUCCUCAAUUGAAAACCUCACUUCAUUUGAAUCUCUUCAGCUCUGUUGUUGUCCAAAGCUCCAGGAGUUUCCAGACAAUGGCCUGCCUAUCUCACUUUUGAGACUAGAAAUCUAUGGAUGUCCGUUGAUUGAAGAAAGGUUCGAGAAGGAUAAAGGACAAUAUUGGUCCUUGAUAGCCGAUAUACCUUGUGUCCGGAUAGAUUGCCAUUAUGUGUGAUAGAUCCCAAAGCACAGAGACAACUGUAUCCUGUUUAAAUUCACAAAAUCCAAUCCCAGGUAUGUGUAGUUAGGGAUGGCAAAAAUUCUCACGGGACGGGUAGUCUCGGGGAUUUUUCCCAUUCGGGGAGGGUAUGAGGAUAAUUUCAUACCCAAUUUUUUAUUCGGGGAAGGGACAAGGAAAUUUAAUUUCUUAUUCGGGGAGAGGACGGGGAUGAGGUGGAAUCCCCAUCCCCUACCCAUUUCCCCAUUUUAAUUUUUAAUUUAAUUUUUAUUUUUUAAAAUUACUAGUAAAUAAAUAAUAAAAUUUGAAUUAUAAAAUUAUUAAAAUUGGUAAAAAUAACAAAUAGCAAAAUAUUUAUAUUAUUAAACUUUUAGGCCUAAUUAACUAAUUAAAGUCCUAAAUUUUUAUUUAGGACAUUAAAAAGACCAGAUAGAUUCUAUUAGCCCAAAAAUUUUGUUUUAAUUUUAAAAUUCAUUAAAUAUUUUAAACUUAAAUCUAUUUUUUUAUUUAUUUUUAGAUGUUAUAAUUGUCCACAGCGAAUCACAAUUUUAAUAUCUAAUCUAAUAUUUUCUCUUGAUUUGCUCCGACUUAACUAUUGUGUUGUAAAGGAAAUAGUCCACAUUUAUAAAGUGCCCACGCCACCAUUGAAAAAGUUAAUUUUGAAUCUAAAUUUGAUUUUAUUUGUAACAAUUUUGUAUUACACUGUUAAUUUGUUCAUGAUAGUUUGUAAAAGAAGUUUGUAUCCAUUGCAUGCUGCGUUACUUACUAAUUUAAUGUAUGUGACUUUUGUAAUGAAUAUUAAUGUAAGAUAUAUUUCGAACUUUACUUUUAUUUGAAUUUUUUUAUUUUAAUAUGAUUAACUUAAAAUCGAAAACAAAAAAAUGUAUUAGUUAUUCGGGGAUCGGGGACCUUCGGAGAUCCCCUGUUAUUAUUCAGGGAGGGGAUGGAGAUUCUCUCAAAUAAUUCUGACGGGACGAGGAGGGGACGAGGACAUACGCAAAAUAUCGGGGAUGGGUACGGGGAGAUUGAUCCCCUCCCCUCCCCUCCCCAUUGCCAUCCCUAUGUGUAGUUAAUAAAUAUCCAACCAAUUACAAUUAUGUUUUAAUUAUAUUUCUUUCUUUUUAAAAAAUUAAAUCUCAUGGAUUCUUCUUUUUCUUGAUGUUCUGAUCAAGAUCCAAACAGCUGAUUACACAAUUCCCCACCUGCUCGUUUCUUUCUAUAUCAGCUUAUCAAGGCAAUUUUUUAUUUUUCUCUUUUCAUGGUGAGAAAUACUUUUAUUUAUUAUUCUUAUUUUGUUUCUUUUCUUGACAAUUGACAAAGCUGAGCUACAUCUAAGUCAUUUUCCUUUAUGAUGCUGACCACUGAUGGUUGAUGUUAAGGAAGCUCACAUUUGCAAGAUUAUCAGCAAAGCAGAGGAUCACAGCAACAAUCAUAUGCAGUUACGAGUUGAUGACAUGGCAUGCCAGCUGGAGCCUGGUGGCUAUGUAAUCAGUUAUGCAUGUAUCAAUUAGCUAUAAGCUGUUAUAGUUAGUUGAAAGGAUUAGUUAAUAAUUUGUUGCUAAUUACAACUAUUUGUGCUGAGCUUCAGCUUAGUAUAAAUAACAACAGCUUUGUACAUAUCAUUAAUAAUGUGAUUAAUGAAAUUUAGUUUCUAGAAAACACUCAGAUCUAGUUCAUAUUUUCUUAGUUGCCAAACACGUUUUUCUCGUUCUUCAACUUGGUAUCAGAGCUAGUAACAAUGGCUUCAGUCCAUCUAGCUUCUUCUUCUUCUUCUCAAGCGCCAAUUAAUCAAACAACUGUUAAUUCAACAAAUAUGACAUUCACUUUCAAUACACCUAUCAAGUUAGAUCAAUCCAAUUAUUUGAUUUGGAGAUCUCAAGUUCUUGCUUCAAUUCGCGGCAACAGACUUGAGAAAUUCAUUGAUAACUCAACCACUCCACCUCCUUCACACAUUGCUCAGAGAAUUGAAGAUGAUCUAAGAUCUGUAGAAAAUCCAGAAUUUGCAACUCGGAGAUCACAAGAUCAGGUGCUGCUUGGCUGGUUACCUUCUUCAAUGAGUGAAGGAAUCAUCAGUCUAGUCUUCAAUCUAGAGACUUCUCGAGAGGUAUGGAAAGCUAUAGAAGUUCAAUUUGGAUCUCAAUCUAAAUUUAGACUUCUGCAUUUACGAUAUAUGAUGAAUUCAACUAGGAAAGAUGAUCUGAAAAUUACUGAUUACUUCAUUAAGAUGAAAAGUAUUGCUGAUAAUAUGGCUGCAGCUGGUAGUGCGUUAAGUGAUGAUGAUUUGAUUUUGCAUGUACUCUCUAGCUUAGGUCCAGAUUAUAACUCUGUUGCUACCUAUAUCACUGGACAAGUAGGAGUAGGAAAAAUGAAUGUAAAUGAAGCUUAUACUAUGCUUCUAACUCAAGAAGCUAGGAUUGAACAACAAACUCAUAUGCUAGCUAAUACUGAUGUGAUACAAAACUUUGAGGCUAAUCUUGCCUAUAACAAAGGUUAUAAAAUGGGAAAUAUGUCAGGAGGAAGAGGUUUUGGUAGCUUUGGAUAUAAUUCUGGUUAUGGAAACAGUGGAAACAGUAACAGUAAUGGUUACAAAGGAGGUUAUGGAGGCUCUGGAUUUAAUGCUAAUAGUGGAAAUGCUUAUGGAUCUAACAAUCAGUUCAAGGCUUAUCAAGGAGAUAAUCAGAGAGGUGGAGGAGGAGGUAACUAGAACCAGAAUGCUGGAAAUAGAGGAUUUAACAAUAGCAGACCACCUGGAAACACUAAGCCUCAAUGGAAUGUCUCUAAGCCAACCUGUCAAAUCUGUUGUAGAACAGGCCACACUGCAAAUAUUUGCUGGAAACUUGAGGAAUUCAUGGCAUUUGGAGCUUACAGACCACCACCAAACAGAAAUCCAAAAUCUGCAUAUUUGGCUAAUAUGGAAGGCCCCGCUGAUACUAACUGGUAUUUGGAUAGUGGUGCAACACACCAUCUGACUAAUGAUAUCAACAUGCAUGUUUCUGAAGCUUUUACAGGUAUAUCUAAACUUGUUGUUGGCAAUGGUGCUGGAUUGGAUAUAACACUUAUUGGAAGUGCUGCAUUGAAAUCACAUAACUCCAAUAAUGCCUCUUUAACUUUUAAACUAAAUGAUAUCCUUUUAGUGCCACAAAUUACUAAAAACCUUAUCAGCAUCUCUAAACUCACAAAGGAUAAUGAUGUUGUGAUUGAGUUUACUAAUAAUUUCUGUUUUGUGAAGGACAAUGUGAGAAAUUUGAUCAUAUUGCAGGGCAAAGCUGAAAAUGGUCUAUACAAAUUGCUAUUGGUAAUAGGAAUAGUGUACUGCUGAAGAAGAUUGUACUGAAAUUCAGAAGUUUUGGAUGGAGAAGAAGAACUGAAAAUUGAGGAAUAUGGAAAUGAAGUUUCAUAAAAAACAACAUGACUUGCUAUAUAGAUUUUUCCAAAAGAAUGGAGACAUUUAAAACCCUUAUGCAAAGGACUAUACCCCAGAAAAAUACAUUUGGAUGUAUGAGACUGAAAUUUGUGUUGAUUAUAACUUCUAAGGAAGGGAAAGCAUGAACAUCCAAAUGUUCUCAAGAAUUUGUAAUCUGGAGAGAUGUGAAAUAUAGACUCAUAAGGAGAUUUCAUUGACUGAACUGGUGUAGGCAAUCUGUUUAUAAGGUAUGUGGCUGUAUGAAAAGACUCCCACCAGAAUUUAAUGGGUAGGUUUGCUUGUGCAAGUAGAGUAAGACCAAGUUCUGUAAUAUGCCUAUGCUUUCUCUCUACAAUUCCAUUUUGAUUGUGAGUGUAUGGACAUGAAUGUCUGAAGUGUAUGCCCUCUGUGUGAAGGAGGUUAACAAAGGAUCGAAAUUCUCCCCCCCAGUCUGAUUGAAGACAUUUUAUGGGUUUGUCAAGUUGUUUUUCUAUCUGGUUUUUGAAAAUUUUAAAGACUGAUAGUGUUUCACUUUUGGUUUUCAAAGGAAAGAUCCAAGUAAAUCUUAUGAAAUCGUCAACAAAGCUUAUAUAAUAUAUGUAGCCUUGUGAUGAAAUCACAGGGGCUGGUCCCCAUAAAUUAGUAUGCAAUAUUUCCAGGGGAAACUUUGUUUUGAUAUCAGAAGCUGGAAAAUGAAGUUGGUGCAUUUUUCCUAUUUGACAAGCAUCACAGAAAUUAAAGGUUGUAUUCUUAUUGUCAAGAAUGAAAGAUGAACAUGUUUUGAUUACAUGAUUCAAAAUCUUAGAAGAUGGAUGUCCCAAUCUCUGAUGCAAUACAGAAGUACUUAACAAACACUCAGAGUUUUUACAAGUAGCUGCAGUAGGCAGACAGGAGGUUUUAUUUGAAAAAAUAGAAUUGACAACUGAAAACAUUAAAAGAGGAGAAGUUGAUACAACUGACUCAGCAACAAAGUUUUGACUAUAAGCAGAAGAGGCUGUCUUAUUAGGUGAAACCAAUAGCAAUUUGUAUACCUUUGAAGCUGAAACUGCAGGUAAUGAUUCACAUUCUAAUCACCUUGGUCCUAUAUCUUCACCACUCUCUCACAACACCAUCCCAACCCUCACCACCAGCUGUUGUAUCUCAGCAAUCUAUACCUUCUUCACCAACUCAGCUCAAUCUUCCUAUACUUCUACCUGAUACAACACAAAAUACAUUAUUCUCCCAACCUCCUAUAUCUCACUCUCUGAUUCAACCAACCCACUCAUCUCAACCUAAACCAAAUCUCUCCACACAUAAAAUGAUCACUAGAGCAAAGGCUGGCAUAUACAAACCAAAGGCCUACCUAACAGAUCAUAAUAGCCUGGAACCAUCUACAGUUUCAGAAGCAUUAUCUGAUCCCAAAUGGAAAGCAGCAAUGCAGACUGAAUACCCUUAUGCCUAUGUGCCCAUCCUACAAACUAGUUGGGUGCAAAUGGGUGUUCAGAACCAAGUACAACACAGAUGGCUCAGUUUCAAAACAUAAAGCCAGACUGGUAGCCAAGGGAUUUCAUCAAACUGCAGGUAUUAAUUAUUCUGAAACUUUUAGUCCUGUAGUGAAGUCUUCAACAGUAAGAUUGAUUCUUAGUCUAGCUGUCAUGAACUGUUGGAAGGUCAGACAAAUUGAUGUGAAUAAUGUCUUCUUAAAUGAGGAUUUGUCAGAGGAUGUGUAUAUGGUUUAGCCUGAGGGUUUUGUGUCCAAAGAAGGCUACAUAUGCAAGCUUACCAAGGCUCUAUAUGGAUUGAAACAAGCUCCAAGAGCUUGGUAUGAUAAACUGAAAGGCUGUCUUACUGCCUGGAAUUUCAUCAAUUCAAAGGCUGACACAUCUCUUUUUGUUAAACAUGAUGAUAAGGGCAUUAUUAUUAUCUUGGUCUAUGUUGAUGAUAUUCUGGUUACUGGUCCUGACUCAGCAUUACUUGAAGAAUUUAUCACUAAACUAAGUAAGGCUUUUGCUCUCAAGGAUCUGGGUUUGAUAGCUUAUUUUCUUGGAGUGGAAGUAUGUUACACAACUCAUGGAAUGCAUCUGUCACAGACAAAGUAUAUUAAAGAUCUGAUCAGCAAAGCUUCAAUGCAGAAUUGCAAAGGGUCAGAUACACCCUUCAGUACUGGAUUUAAACUAGAGAAAAAUGUUCAAGGUCCUCUGGGACAAGAAUUUGAAGAACCAGCACUUUAUAGGAGCAUUGUUGGAGGGCUUCAAUAUUUGAUUCUCACCAGGUCUGACAUUGCUUAUUCUGUACACAAACUCAGCCAAUAUCUCAAUACUCCUACACUUCAGCACUGGCUGGCAUGCAAGAAGGUUCUCAGAUAUCUUCAAGCCAUAACUACUCAUGGUUUAUACAUUCAAAAGGAAGGGACACUUGGACUUGCAGGUCUAACAGGAUACUCUGAUGCUGACUAGGCAUGUGAUGUUGAUGAUCGAAAGUCUAUUGGAGCUUACUGUAUUUACCUUGGUAAUAAUCUGAUCUCCUGGUCUUCAAAGAAGCAAGCUAUAGUAGCUAAGUCAAGCACUGAAAGUGAAUACAGGGCACUAUCUUCAGCAAGUUCAGAGCUUUCAUGGUUGCAAUCUCUGUUGUCAGAACUUAACAUUGUUCAGUUACCUACUCCAAUUCUUUGGUGUGACAAUCAAAGUGCUGGAGAGUUAGCUCGAAAUCCUAUUCUUCAUUCUAAAUCCAAACACAUUGAAUUGGAAAUUCAUUACAUUAGAGAUAAAGUGCUUGGAAAAGAAUUAGAAAUAAGAUAUAUUCCUACAGAAGAACAAGUUGCUGAUGUCCUUACUAAAGCUUUGUCAUUUCCCAAGUUUAACUAUUUUAGAUCCAAGCUCAAUGUCAUCAACAGGCCAUUGAGCUUGAGGGGGGAUGUUAAAGAAGCUCACAUUUACAAGAUUAUCAGCAAAGCAGAGGAUCACAGCAACAACCAUAUGCAGUUACGAGUUGAUGACAUGGCAUGCCAGCUGGAGCCUGGUGGUUAUGUAAUAAGUUAUGCAUGUAUCAAUUAGCUAUAAGCUGUUAUAGUUAGUUGAAAGGAUUAGUUAAUAAGUUGUUGCUAAUUACAACAGCUUUGUACAUAUCAUUAAUGAUGUGAUUAAUGAAAUUUAGUUUCUAGAAAACACUCAGAUCUAGUUCAUAUUUUCUUAGUUGCCAAACACGUUUUUCUCGUUCUUCAACUGUUGGAAGUCAACUAUUGUAUAGUAAGAUGAUUUGAAACUUCUUUUAAAACUUCUCUGUCAUCUAGCUUAGAGAACUUGACUGUCCACCAAGAGUCUGGAGUCACCUGUUGCAUCUCAAGUUGAUUUGGUAUUUGUUAUUUUUAAUGAGGAAAUACUUUGCUAGAACUUUCAGAUUGAACAUUGCAGGUAGGAUUAUUAUUCAAGUCGUGACCUUCGAGAACUUGUUGCAGUUGAAUGUUUUUUUUUUUUUUUUGGGGGGGGUGGGGGGGUAAUGACAAAAAUUAUUAAUGUUUAGGAACAACUCUUUAGGGGAGAAGCAUAUAUAUCUGGCUGGCAAUUUUGGCAUAUUCAACUGUUGAUAGUAGAAUGGAUGUAUGGAGGGUUGACUUCAGUGACCACAAUUAAUUAUGUCAUUGUACGGUUAAAUGGUUGCAUUAUGAAAAGCAGAGAUGCGUUAGAAAAUGACAUGGCCUUUGUCAUGCUUAAUCUGUGCCUAUGCAGCUAUUGUAUUAUCUUGGUUAACCUGUGCCUUUUUAAUUCUUGUACUAUGACUGCCUGGUCCUAAGCAAUAUUGAUGGAAAUGACAUCCAGCUUGAAGUUUAUGUAAAUCUUUCAAAAUAAAUUCUGAAUACCCUUGGAUUUGGUGUGUACAAAGUCAAAGAAUCCAUUUAGCUGGUCCUACAAGUUUUAGACUUUGCAGGGAGGCUUCAGAUUUAUAAAUAUGUAACAAAAAAGGUGUAGACUACAUAAAAAGACUUAAAAAAAAAGUGUAUAGAAUUAUUAGCUAUGCUUAGAUAAAUUCCCGGUAAUUACCUUUCUAGUAUUACUUUUUUUCUUGUUGUUUCUUUGAGAUAUUUCAAGAAAUAUACAAUAUAUGCAAACAUAUAACUUCUUGAAAUUUGUAAUUAUAGGAUUCUGUUGACUGGUUGGUUCUAUACCUCUUUGUGGGAAUGGGCGAAACAUCUUGAUACCUUUACCAAGAUCAGUUAGUGCUGAGGUUUUGGCUAUUACUGGAGCUGGCGUGUGACUGCAUGAUCAAGAUGCGUCAAACCUUCCACUGUUCUAUUGGUUUGCCUUUAUCAUUCGGAAUCCAAGUUUGAUAUUAACAGAGAUCACAUCAAUAAUAUCCUAUUUGGGUAGAUGUGGGUGAGGAUUUAAAAUCAAAUUUGAAAUUGAGAGGAAAGAAAAGGAGCCACAAUAAUUAAACAAAAUAAUUCUGAUGAGUUUUAAUCUCGAGGAACAAUUUUCAAAUGCAAAUUUAACUGCUAGAGAAAUUGUAGCUUUUUGUCAUUAGUUAAAAGGAAAAAGAAUAAGAACUAUCCGGCCCUUUCCUUCAUGAAUGUGUUGAGGUUGCUGUAUUAUUUAGUCAGUAUUUGUAAUUUUCUUCCCUGCAGUGCUCUCUGCUUCCUGAAUUUGCUACUGAGUCCAUAUUUUUCUUUGAGCUUUUGCUUCCUAUUGCUGUUACAGGUGCAAAUCUGGGCAAGCAAUAAGAUACACCGGGAGGAAAGGUCAUCAAUGCGAAAAUGGGAUGUCCGAUCCCUCAUCACAUCUUCUUCAGAUUUGUAUGGUCCAGAAAAGUCUGCUAGUGUUGAAAAAUUACCUAGGCAUGUAAAAUUUACUUUUAAGAAUCCUGUUAGGUGCUGCAUUAUUUGGAUCACAUUACAUCUUCAGAGACCUGGUUUGGGUUCAGUUAAUUUCGGGAAGGACUACAGCAUUUGCAGAUGAACCUUCAGAACAAGAUGAUUCAGGAUUGAGAGCUCCACUUGUGGCCACAGGUUUGUCUUUGUCAAACAGAAUCAAGUUAUAUUAUUAUUGUGAUCCUUAUGAGCUCGGAAAAUGGGCAAGCCUUUCUGGAGUUUGAUCGUUAUUUAUAUGUCAGAGAAAGAGUUUUGGGUUUGAUUUUGAUUUGUAAUUUUUGUCAGUUUAUUGAAAUUUUGUUGUUGUAUAAAAGCAGAAUGUAAAGGUAUAAAAAUUCAUUGAUGCUGUAAUGUCUGUACUUUUGAGAAAGAAGAAUUCAAUGUCUUUUCUAUGCCAUUGGAUUUUCCACUGCUGGUAAAACCUGAGCUGUCGAAUGCUCUGUGAACCUUAAGGGCUAGAAAGUAAUUUUCUUUUUUUUUUAAUUCUUUUAUAUACAUAUUAUUAUUGAUAUUACAUUAGACAUUACAAUUACAAUAUUUAUAAUCGUACUAAAUAACUGAGACCAACGUCAUACAUUAACUCACGCCAUACAUUAACUCACUGAAGCACUUGUCCAAAUACUUUAAACCUCUCUAAUAUUCGAGGAGUGUCUACUCUAUUCACAUUUUGUUAGGGAGAGACUGUCUCUACUCAAUUAGUUGAUAAUUAAGAAAGAAUUGAAACUAACCUCCAUAAUGUUCUUAUGAAAGCUCGAACUCUUGCACUCAACAUUAUAAGUGCAAGGUUUCUACCAUUGAACCAAAGACCCAUUGGUGGCUAUAAAGUAAUUUUCAAGAGUGAAGGAUUUAUUAAUCGAGUUCAAAAGAUUGCAAGCUGGUGAGCGUUGGCAUUUAAAAAUCAAUUGUUAUCCUCUCAAUAAUCUCUCUCUUCUGCCGACACCCGAAGCUCAGAAACCCGUUGUUCCGACGGACGUGUAACACUUCCAGAAAUUAGCCUUUUCUUCUAUAUGAAGGUUGAUCUCUCCUCCUGCAGUGUUUUCUUUUUCGAGUGAAGGUGGUUUUCUACUUACAUAUGUCGGGGGUCUUACAAUAUCUAAUGUGUGAAAUUUCUUUCUCAUUUUACCAUAAAGAAAAUGUCAGUAAUGAUUUAAAGCUCGAGUCUUAAAUUAUCUUAAAUUAAGAAUCUCUCAUUACAUUGUCAACCAAAAAGACACUUACAUAAGAAGAAGAAUUUGUCAGUUUGAUUUUAUUUGUAGAUCCAACAUUUCUCAUAUCCUGAGUGCCUUUCCGUAUCAAAUUAAAAUAGUAGUAGCAAAAUCGUAGUGCACAUUUAAUUAACCAACUAAUAGUCUAAGCAAAGAGAGGAUUACAAGUUCACAACACCAUUACAAAGGAUUCAAAAUCCCCGCACGAAAACAUCAAUGUACAGUUAUAAACAACCCGAAUUGGACACAAGAAAAACCCUUCAAUGGAUUGUUUGCCUUCCCAAUGCUAUAUACUGUGCAAACUGCGCACUGGCCAAGAAAAUGUUUUCAAUUUAGUGUACUUUCAAAAUGCUUAUUUUCUCAGAAUAUUAAAAAAAUAAAAAAAUAAAAAAAUAAAAAGAAUUCUUACAUGUUUCAUCAGCAUGAUUAAAAUCAAAGAAGAAAGCGAGACAUAAUGUCUCUGACAUAAUAAAAUUACAAAAAUUUCAAAAAAAAUGUUAAAACAUGUAAACAUGAAAGUAUUUUCAAAAGCAAAAUGGAAUACAUAGAUAAAACAUCAUCUUAAACAAAUCACAAUCUAGAAUUAGAGCAUUUUUGACAUACCUAAGGAAAAAGAAUACGUGAAAAUGGGUGACUCAUUUGCUAAGGAGUGUUGAUUUGAUUGGCUCUGCAAAUUCUCUUGGGGCUCAGUUCCAAUUCCUCUACAUCCAAAGUUCCACUCGCGCUUGGCAAAUCAUCCAAUUUCCAAACUUCGGUAGCAAAAUUGAUAGUAAAAGUGUUGUCUUUUGUUUCGCUGGGAUUUGCAUAUACUGGACAUAAUCCGCAACGUUUUAUCUUGUAAAACUUUCGCUCAGCGAAGAACUUAAAUGUGGCAAUUGUAUGAUGGUAACCAUCAGGAAACCCAACAUUCAAGCAAGGUUUAAAACCAAGUAUGACACGAUCUGAAUCAAUAAGGUCUUCAAUAUAGCGCGAAUUGUAACCCAGAUCAACAUGUUUGGUUUCAGAGAGAGUCUUUAUUUCUAAGUCGAAUUGAAAGCUGACGUAAAAAUAACGAAAACAAUCAGAAUCAACUUUCUUAGAAUCAAGAACAGCACAAAAAGCAAACCCGAUUAAGUUUCUGCAAGAAGAGUGCGGUGGCAGUUGAAUACAUAUCGAAGAUCCUGAACUUUGAUUGCUAAACCAGUCAGGAAUUUCGCUCCCAGGUAAAACAAUUAGGGAUCCCCUGAGUUCAGAAAGUUUCUGUGAAAGGACAUUUAAAAAAAGAAAAUUGUAAAAUGAAAACCAUUGAUUUCAGAUAUAAGAAAGAGGGACAGAGUAAACAAGAGAGGGAAUUUGAUACCUCGUUGAUUGCCAUUUCAUAGCCCAGUCUCAGUGAUGCAAUUGCCAUAUGCCGAAUUCUUAGUAGUGAAUCUGCCAAAAUCUUGUUGUUUGCUUUUCCAUUCAGUUUCAAGCAGUUAGUAAACUCAAAACAAAUUGCUGCUGACUUCAGAGAUUCUGGUGCCCAUUGAAGGUCAGGAGAGUGUUUGGAUAGCUUUUCGAGUACGGAUGCAUCUAGUUCUUGUAGACAUAACAGAAUCUCUGGCAAAGAUUGAAGCCGGUUGCAGUUCCUUACAGUUAGUAACUGUAGACACAAUGGAAGUUCUGGUAAUGACCGAAGCAUGUUACAAUCCUCCAAGUUAAGAUAUUGUAGACACAAUGGAAGUUCUGGUAAUGACCGAAGCAUGUUACAACCCGUCAAGUCAAGAGAUUCUAGACAAAAUGGAAGUACUGGUAAUGACUGAAGCAUCUUACAAUCAAUCAAGUGAAGAUAUUUUAGGCACAAUGGAAGUUCUGGUAAUGACUGAAGCAUAUUAAAAUCCUCUAAGUGAAUAAACCUCAGCUGCGACAUUUGCUUGAUAAUUGCAGGUAAACUCUCAAAGUUAUUUCCACUUAGAUACAAUAUUUCCAGUGAGGAUAGAUAGGCAAUCUCUUGUGGAAUUUCCCUUACAGCAUAGUCACUUAUAUGUAGAAGUCCCAUAGCAGAUAAACCUAAUAAAAAUGUUCGAGGAAAUGAUUCCAAACCUUUGCAGUGAGAGGAGUCAAGACUUCUAAGCAUGUUUGACAAUGCAACAGAGGAUGGUAGUUGACUAAUAGCUGAUGCAGCUGCUAAGAUGUAAUACAAAUAUUCUAAAGAGCCAAUGUUAUCCGGUAAAUUAUCAAGUUUAGAGCAAUCUUCUACGAACAAUACUUCAAGCCCCGGUAGAUUUUCAAAUGACGAUGGCAGCUCUGUAAUUGGCGUCCUGUCUGAAUAGAUGCGUUUUAAAUGUUCCAUUUUCUCCAAGAUUUCUGGGAAAUGCUCAAGGUUCAAGCAGCCAAGAAGAAUAAGCGUAACCAAAGAUCUCAAUUUACAAAAGCUUGUUGAAAUCCGCUUCAGCCGUUUGCAACCCCUCAAAUCCAACACUUCAAGAUCAGUUAGACACUCUAUUGAUGAUGGAACUUCUUCUAUUGCAGACUGGCCUAAGUAUAGCCGUGUAACUUUCCCAGAAAUUUGUGGAAACUCUAUGAGAUUAACACAAUAGGAGAAAUUAAUAGUUACUGGACAAACAAAAUGAAGAUUGCUUGGAAAAGACCUAAGACUUUGGCAGCCCUUAAAAGACAACGCACUGAGAUACUUGAAAUUCUGGAUAGAUGAGGGAACACAAGCCUUUUCUCCUUCCCAAGGUUGCUCAACUUUACUACAACGCAAAUUCAGUUCAACAAGGUUCUUUGGCUUGAAAUUUGAUGGCAGUGUCCUUAAUGGAUAUGUGUCCCAAUGAAGAUAUCUCAAUUUUUUAGGAAGAUAAUCUAGGCCAUUUGGAAGCUGCACUUUAGAGUAUGAAAGUUGCUCUUCAGUGCUCAU